rnacentral:lncRNA from 1 species
AGGCUGGAAACGUAAUACUUGCACUCAAUUGCAGUGGUGUGGUGUUCAGGUCAUCUGAUAAGGUCAAUUUUUAUGAAAUGAGCAUUCUUCUUUUUGUCAUCUAUUCUGUUAGCAAUUUUCAUUUUUUUAUUGUAAACAUUUAGGUUAUCUAAGUUUGAUAAUGCUUUGCCUUCUAUUUUAAUUCUAUAUCCAGUCCAAAAUUUUGAAUCACACAUGGUUAUUUGAUACAUUAAUAAAGUUAGUUUCAGGAUUGAGAAUUCUUGUUUUUUUUUUGUUUUUUUUUUUUUGAAGUCUUUGUGUUUUUGUUUUUAUGUUGGUAGGAAAACUAUAUAUAUAUAGUGGGAUGGAUUGGGGUUUCUAGAUUCUUUCUUAGUGCCUAUACCAGAAUUCUAGUCUUGUGAUGAACUCUCUUGGUUGUUAUUAACUCGACUUUUUUGCUUAAUUGUUAUAUGUUACUGCUCUGAUUGAAUGGUAGCUCAUUGUUCAUGGUUGUUGAGAAUAUUGUUGUCAAUUGUUGUUGCUUGUAGUUUAUCAUUGAUAAUUGUGAGAAGUGUAUGAAUUCAUCCCUUUCUCAUUUAUAUGGCUGACUUCUGUGCAUUAAGAUAUAAGAGUGAGUGUGUUGUAUGGUAAUUCCACUAGCUGUUCAGGAAAUUAACUGAAAUGGAUGAUUCUGACUUGGACCUUAAUGAGAUGGAAUUAGUUGAUACUGCUGGUUAUUAGUCAUCUUUCUUCUGUCUUGUGUCUCGUAUUUGUAGGUUGCCAAUAAUCCAAAUGAAUCUGGCACGCGUACUGAUUUUUUUAUUACAACUCAUACUACGCCUGAUGGGACUUAUUUAAAUGAAGAGAUUGGUGAAAGAAUGGUAGGGAAAAUUCAGAAUGUUAUAGUUGUAAUUGUUAAAUAUAUGAUCUAAUUGACCUAUUCAUGUUAUACGCAGCAAAUGAUCAAAGACAUUGUUGCGUGUGACCCUAGUAGCAAACACAAAGACCUUGAUAAUGAUCCUGUUUCAGAGGUUUGUUAUAUAUAUUUAUAUUGCUUUUGAAGAAGCCAUAUAGUGGCUGAGAUAUAUUAUGAGGAAAUAGCUGACAUUUGUAAAAAAAUUAAUACUAGGUUUUUGGAAUAAUGGAAGGGGUACAGUAAAAGGUUAUGGUCAUGGUGUUUCGAAGACCACUCUUACAGCUGCAGCUCCUUAUAAAAAGAAAUCUCGUGAAGAGUAUAUGUCUCGCAUGGAGCUUCAACGCCAAGUGGAUAAUAUGGAGCAGCAAAUGGUUGAAGAUAGAAGCGAACGCAGGGAGCUUCAGGAACAACUGAGUGCAUUUCUCGGAACAAAGGCCACUUAUGCAUUUCUUAGCUAGCCCACCUGUUUUUCUUAAGGUAUGAAUUCAUUCUUUUCUGAAAGCUUACACGUGUAUUGUGCUUUAUUUGUAUAGUUACUGUGUUUUACCUGACAUCAUAGAGUGUAUUGUGUUGAUUCGUGGCUUGAGUACAGAUUCUGUAGAGAGAAAUAGGUAAGAGACAGACGCUUUAUAUUAAAACUCAUAAAAGCAAUAAUAUAAAGUGUGUUUCUUAACUAAUAAACAUUAGUUUGAAUUUUAUUUUCUCCUGCAAAAUGAGCCGGAGAGAUAGCUAACGAUGCAAGUCUAACUGCUAAAAAAAUCUGUCAUCGUGUUUCCGUACUUCAAUUUCAUUAUAUAAAUAUUGUAGGGACCAAUGAAUUCAUUGCCUAGACAAUCAUCUAUUUCAGCUCAACAAACAUGCCAGUUGUUAAGUAUUGGAGGAAGAGUUGUUGUGUUUGGAACAAUAACUACAAAUAGCGGGGGCACUACAUAUAAGAUUAUCAUUGAUGAAGUUGCAGAUUGGAGUGCUGAAUUGUUUGGUGUUGUAGGCAAGACAUUCGGAGAAUAUUGAUGUGGGACAUACAGUUGAAUGGCCGAUAAUCCUAACACGUCUAGUUUGAUCUAUUUUCCAAUGUUAUAUCACCACUAUUGAAGUUCCAUUGCAGUAAAGAGAUUUUUUUUUCUGUUAUUGUCAUUACUAUGAAGAAGAAUGGUGAUGGCUUGAUGUCUGAAAGGUGAUGGGUGUUUAUCUUUUUUUUUUUUUUUUUUUUUUUUUUCAGUGCAGCGGAGUAGGAGUGCAAUAUCAGCUCAGGUGCAGCAGUGUCGUGUUCUCAGUUGCAACCAUGCAGUUUUUCAGGGUUCAGCUUAGUUACUAGUUAGGUGGUACUAAGUGAAAUGCACGUCCGUUGGACGAAUCAGGUGGGCAAUUUUUAUUUUUAGCCUUGUGUUUUAUAUACAUUCAGUGAAUGACAAAAAGUUGCAAAAAAAUAUCGAGUUUGCAACCAUGAAAAUUUUAGGGGUGUGUAUUGUGCAGGGGUGGGAAUUAUUGCCGAUUUUUCGAGUUUUCCGUUUUCCGAUCCGAUUUUUUCCGAAUUUGGAAUGGAUUUUUGCAGUUCCGAUUUCUGAUUCUUCCGUUAAAAGGUGGAACGGAACUGGAACUACUUCAUUUUCAUUACUUCUAUGAAUCCGAUUUUAGAUCCGAUUUCCGAUCCGAUUUUUCUGAUUUUCGAUCUGAUUUUCGAUAAAUAUUCAAAAUUUUCUGAUAAUUUAAAGAGAUUUAAUUAAUUAUUCUAGUUUUUGAAAAUAUACGUACAUAUAGACAUAAAAAUGAUAUACUAAAUUCAAAAAUGUGAUUUUUCAUCAUGAGGACUCAAUAAAUAACAAAUUGUAGUUAGUUUCAAAUUUUAAUGUAAUCAAAUAUCAUUAUAUGAUGCAACAAAAAAUUAAUGUAAUAGUAAAUUAUUGGUUAGUUUAUACUUCGUGUUUUUUUUAUCAUGAUAUUAAAAUUUUCUAUAAUAAAUUAUAAACUUGCAAGUUUUGUAUGGAUUGGAAUUAAAUAUCCGUAAGAAGUUGCACUAAAGCUAGCAGAGAGAAAAAAAUUCCAUACCUCGCAGAAAGUGAUUGUAAUGAAGUUAUUGAUGUAGUUAAGCCAAAUAAAAUGGAUCUCUUAGUGUUAGUUAUAAGUUAUAACGUAUAUCAGUAUAUGUAAUUUACUUUGUAGAAUAUUUAAUUAAAAAAAUUAUUAUAUUUGCUAAAGUUGUUAUCUCUAGACCAUUACAAAAUAUUGAUUAUGUUCAUUUAGUAUUGUAGUAAAUUUAUGGUAUUAUAUUUCCAAUAUAAAGAAAAGUAAAUGUAAAUAUAUCACUUAUCUACAUUUAACAUUGAAAUGCAAGAAUACAACCUAUAAAAAAGAUUAAUAUAAAAGAAUAUUAAUAUAAUAUAAUUCAAAUAUUGGGUUUGUUCUAAAUUUUAUUUUUCCCAUUUAUAUUUAGUCAUAUCUUCUCAAAUGAAACAUUUUCCUUCGCUCAACGUGCUAAGAAAAUUAGAAUUUGUUUGCAAAAAAUAAAAAACCUCUAUCUCUAACUAAUUAAAUUUUAAAAUAUUUUACAAUAAUAAUUGGAUUGCAGAGAUCUUACAUAUACACCUAUAGAAUAUGGUUUGUUUCAUUGAAUUAUUACUAAAUGUUAGAGGUCAUUAAUUAUUUGGACAUUAAUUAAGAGUUGAUAGAUUGUUGUACUCAAAUAACCAUGUUGGCUAUCUUUCAAAUAGAAUUCUUAAUUUUAUAAUUUAAUUAUUUCUGAUUUAAUAUAAGUAUAUUUCAUUAGAGAAAAAUAAUACAAACCUCGCACGAAGAAAUAAAAAAUACUAAUAUAGAAUCGUGAGAUGGUUGAGAACUUGAGAUCGAUUUUAGGAAAUGGAGAGAGAGGAGUUGAUGAAGAACCACGGAGAGGUGCUUGAAAGAGAUGGUAAAAAAAAAAAAAGAAGAAGACGCAUGAAGAAUCUAAAUUAAAAAAUGACGGACAAUAAAUAUUUGGAUAUACCCGAUGAAUAAGACUCAUAAAAUCAGUCAAUGAAAAUAAAAACUAAAACUAAUUAAUGUGAUUAAGGAGGUGUUCAUUAUUAAAAUAAAUAAAUAAAUUAAAGGGGUUUUUGACAACAAAAAAUAAAUUUAUUUUUAUUUUUAUAGUGAAAUAAAAGUGUAAAAAUACUACAAAUCAUUGGUUCACAACUCACAAGUCAUUAAGAAAUACAAAUCAUAUUUUGUAAAUAUAAGAAUAAUAAUGGGAGAUCUUAAUCACACUCACACCAUACAAAUCUCUCAUGCACCACAUUUAUUUAGCUUACCACAAAAUUUAUCUGAAAAUGUGGUGUUCGAUAUAUUUGUGUGGUGAUCUCCCAUAAUAACUUAUAAAAUAAUUUCUCAAAAGCUAAAAAAAUGACUUGUAAGUUGUAACUAUUUACAUGUAAGUAAGUAACUAUCAUAUUUGCCAAAUACUAAAGUAAAAUCAUAUCAUAUUAUUAUUUACAUAUUUAGUUAAUUAAUUAUAUUCAUUUAUAUAUUAGUGUGUGGGGGUGGGUUAGUGGGCGUGUGUAGUAAAUAGUAAUUAGUUAGCAGUAACACUUUAACCUAAUUUUAACUAUAAUCCAUCAAUCACUAAUAUUAUCUGAUCUGAGCCGUCAAUAACCUGAUUUCCUUCCCUGUAUUACUGUAUAGAUCAUAGGUGAAAAAAUCGAAAAUGUCGGGCGGAUAUUCACGACAUAUUCCGGUUUUUGGGAAUCCGGAGCGGUACGGCAUACGAAUAAUAAACGAAACAUAAACCUCCCCAUGCCGCUCGGAUUUUUACGAAUAUUCGCGAAAUAUUCGGCAAAAUACGAAAUUUACGAAAUUUUCGAUUCUGAAAUUAACACAUUUAUUUUUAAUUCCCACCAAACUAGAACUUUUCCAAACUAGAACUUUCGAUGAGGUUAUCAAAAAAGGGUCCAAAGAUUAGCAAUAUGAAUAUUUCUUGUUAAUGAAACCUUGGAUUUCUUAAAACUAAACAAACAAAUUGGCACUGGUUGUCUACGUAUGUUUAUCCUCAUUUUUCUUAUGGGAACAUGGGAACCUCCCAAAGUGAUGAUUCCAGUGUACCAUCCUACCAAACCCAACCAAAUUCUAGUGGUUCUUGGUUUCCUAAUAUAAGGAGUUGGUUGGCCCCAAUGACAAGUGGGUCGGACGUGCAGUCAGUCGAUACAUUAAUGCCGGUUCAACAAUACUCGGGAUUUCCUAUCUUUGAAUCAUUUGCUCCGUAUUGUAUGGAUCAAGAUGCAUAUGAUAUGCAUAUUGACCAAUUCAGGUCGUACGAGCAAACAAUGUCAUGGGAAUAUUACUGGACUGAGUUCGUCCCCACACGUAUGCGACUCGAAUCUCAUCGGUUUGACUUGGGGCGUCUAUCAUUCUGGGGUUAGCAUGUCUUUUAUUUUGAUUAUUAAAAUAAAACUAUGGGUUGAGUUGUUAUGAGGUUGUUUGUGUUUAGUUCUUAUAUUAGAAACAAAUAAAAGUUCCGUGAAUAUCCGCCCGAUAUUUACGAUUUUUUCACCUAUGAGUAAAACUAUCUUGUGUAAUAGUUUCGUCUUAGCUUCCUUGUAUGAUUUGUCGCGUGUUUAAUUUGCAAUGUAUGUUUUUCUUUUAAUUAUAAAUUUAUAUAUUGAAACCAGAAGAAAAACGUGACAAUAGCAGAAAACCUCCCAAUUUUUCGAUUUUUUCGCGAAUAUUCGCGAAAUAUUUUGCGAGAACCAUUUUUGCCAAACCUCCCAUAUCCGACAUUUGGGUCCGGAUAUUCGCGGAAUAUUCCGGUUUUUCCAAGGUCGGAUAUUCGGAUAUAUUCGAAAUUUUCACCUAUGGUAUAGAUAGAUAGAUAGAAUAUUUUCAGAUCUGAGCCGUCAGCAACUCUCUCUCCAAAACUCUCUCUAGUCUCUACACUACUAGUAGUCACUAAGCCGUCAAUAGCAUGAAAGUUUUUGCACCAAGUUGGAAUUUAUCAGCAAAACCUUGUGAUUAACAACACCCAUUCUCUCUUCAUCAACCAUUUUAACAACACCCUUACUUUUUUCAUCCAUUUUAGAAAGUGUUUAAAGUGAAUUAAAACUCUUAAAAGGUUAGCAUUUGCUCUUAAUUUCAGUCUAUUUCUUUUAUUUUGUGAUUAAUUUUAGCUUGAUUUAGACGUUUCUUCUUUGUAUUUAAUAUUUAGUUAUGGAAUCUUCUCCUUAUAUGAAUUUGGCACCAACUAGUUCCUUUCCUUUUUUUUCUACUGUGCUAAUGGGUGAUACAUCAUUUUUAUGCAAUUUUGUAGGUCUUAAAUUAGAUGUCUAUAAUGGCUGAAAGUUCUACUCCAAAUACAAGCGAUCUGAGUAUCGAAGUUAGCCAAAAGAAACAAAAAACCACGCCAAAAUCUAGUCUUGGUGGACACCAUGGAAUUUCUGGGGUGUGGGCUCAUUUCGACAAAAUUUUAAUAGAAGGACAAAGAAAUAUGCAGGUAAAGCUAUUUGUAAGUAUUGCAAGCUUUCAAUUGAUGCACCUUCUACUAGUGGCAGAAACAAAUUGUGACACCACCUUAAGAAAUGUAAAGAGUUCCCCGGUUUUGAAGAAGAUAAGUCACAACCUUUGCUUUCUUUUCCGGGAGAACAACCUUCUACUUGGAGGUUUGACUAAGAUAAAUGCUAUAAUGUUCUUAUAAAAAUGAUUAUUAUUGAUGAGCUCCCUUUUAGUCAUGUUGAGAAAGAAGGUUUUAAAAUGUUUUACGAAAGAAAUGCAACCUAAGUUUCAUGUGGUGUCAAGUCGUACUAUUACUUCGGAUUGCAUUAAAAUGUUUCAUGUAGAAAAAAACAAGUUGAAAGAGUAUGUGAAUGGAUUGUCUUCAAGGGUUAGCCUUACAACCGACAUGUGGACCUCAAUCCAAAAUCUUGGGUAUAUGGUUGUAACGGCACACUUUGUAGACAAAGAUUGGUGUCUUAGAAAGAAGAUCAUUAGUUUUAAAGUGCUUCCUCAUCCACACAAGGGUGAACUUAUUGCAAAAGCAUUAGAAAGUUGUUUGUUGGAGUGGAACAUAGAGAAAGUGAUGACUAUUACCCUUGAUAAUGCUCGAAACAAUGACAUAUGUGUUGUAGAUUUAUCAAAAAGAUUGAUAAAAAAAGAUUCUUUGCUAUUGAAUGGUGAGUGUUUCCACGUAAGUUGCUUUGCUCAUAUUAUAAAUCUUGUCGUGAGAGAGGGAAUCGAAGAAGUUAAAGAAAUAGUCAAAUGUCUUCGUCGAAGUGUCAAAUAUGUGAGGAGUGGGCCAUCACGUAUGCAAUUAUUUAAAAAGUGUGCUUUGGAUGAGAAUGUAACUACGAAGAGGGUUGUUUCUUUAGAUAUUAAAACAAGAUGGAAUUCAACCUACCUUAUGAUUAAUGCGGCUUUAGAGUUUGAGCAAAUAUUUAGUAAUUUACAUUAUCAUGAUGGAUGUUACAAGUUUGAUUGUUAUUUGGGAGUGAUGGAUGAUAAUGAUUGGAGCACAUUGAAAGCUUUGCAUAUGUUUUUGGAAGAAUUUUAUGAGCUAACAAAACCUGUCUCCGGUUCGAAGUAUGUCACGUCCAAUGCAUACUUUGAUGAGAUAACACAAGUCAAAGAUCUUAUUCUUGAGCAAUUGAGUAGUGAAAAUAAAUUUUUUGCUACCAUGACAAUGAAAAUGAAUGAAAAGGAUAAAUAUUGUCAAUUUGACUUUUUGAAUCCAAUUCUCGUUGUUGCAAUAAUUUUGGAUCCUCGGUAUAAGUUGAACUAUGUGGAGUUUUGGUAUGCUUCCUACUUGGGGAAGCUUGACACUUUAACCGAUGAAGAAAGAGCUCAAAAAGUGAAUGCUUAUGUUGAGAGAUUGAAGAACUUGAUGGCUCGUCUUUAUUCUCAUUAUAAGGUAGAAUUUGCAUCGAUUAUGAAUAAUAAAUCUUCUAACUCUCAAGAUGAUGGUGUGGCUAAUCCCCAAGCAAAGAAAUGUACUAAUAGUACAAAAGACUUGUUUAAAGGUUUAUUGAAAAGAAAGAAUAGUGGAGAAACAUCAAAUGAUUUGGAUAGGUAUUUGGGUGAUGAUAUUAUAGAGGAUGACACUAACCACUUUGAUAUCUUGGUUUGGUGGCGAGAGAAAGUGUCAACAUAUCAUGCACUUGCAAUGAUGGCACGUGAUAUAUUAUCUAUUCCGGUGACAUCGGUUCCUUCAGAGUGUGCUUUUAGUACCGCCGGUCGAAUCCUUGAUCCAUUUCGAAGCUCUUUGACUCCUACGGUUGUAGAAAACUUGAUAUGCACCCAAGAUUGGCUAAGAAGUCCCAUGCCAACAACUGAUAUUGAAGAGAAACUUGAGGUUCUUGAAGAAAUUGAGAAUGGUAUGUUGUUUGAUCUACUUGUAAACUUUUUUUUUUCCCAUUCAUUUUAUAUACAAAGUUACUUAUAUAUUCAUGUUAUUGUAGUUGUAUUAGAGGAAUUGAGAGGCUUGUCGCUUGGACCCACUCCCACACCCACUAGUUGAAGAACUUUGGGACGAUCUAAGUAAGUUAUUUGGAUUUCAAGUUGUUUUUGUUUUGUUUUUAUCAUGCUACGUACUUUUGCUUUAUGCUGUUGUUGGCUUUUUUUCCUUUUUGAUCAAAAUGUAGACAUUCUACUGAAUAUGAAACAAACCCAAUUACAUCUUACUGAACAGCCUGUAGACAACCCCUUCCAUUGUAAAGUUUUUAAGUAACCUCUCAAUGCUACAUGGUACAAUACUAGUUCUUUUCAGCAUACUAGGAUCCAGGUCUCAACACCAAUAUUUGGAAUCAGAUUUUUUUCGGCCGUUUCAAAUGGGACUAGUGGUACUAGUACUGUUCCAAGUUCUUCGUCGUGGACAACCCAAACUUCUGAAACAUCUCUUUCUGUACCAAUGAGAAGUAUAUUAUUAUUUGAGAUAGAGAGAAGCUAGCAAGUUUAAGAGAAAUAAGUUUAGUGCAGUUGUGUUCUGCGAGUAAUUCUAAGAUUUAUACCAGUAAAAUACUAAAAUGGACUAUUGAAGUAGGUAGAUUAUUUCCUGUAUCUAUAAUGUUUUCAGCAAUUAACAUACCGUAGUGUGAGUAUAUUAUUAUUGUCCAUAUGGAUUACAAAAAUUUCAUAACAAAUUAUGUGAGACUGAGAGUUGAGCAUUGUGUACUGGUACACUAAAGAAGCUGCCAGGAGCCCAGGACCAAAUUCUCUACUGAGCUAGCAGCUUUAAAACCUGAAUGACUAGAUGUAACGAGUUGCGAUUUCUGUUUUAGCGUUUUAAUUUCUUAUGAAACUUCAUAAUAAAGAAAAUAAGUUGUUAAGUAGAAAUUUUAUAUUUUGUUCUUUUUGAAGUUCUGAGCACUUAAUAUGACUCUUAUUUUCACCAAGCUCAUAGUAUUAAUGUCCAGCCUCUCCUCUGAUGACUGAUUAGUUCCUCUUCUACAAGUUACAUAUUAUAAUUUGGGGUUCAUUUGUUUUUCAGGAGCCGUCGGUUAAUUGGGAUCUACGCUAUUUAAGAGGAGGAAUGAAAGAUAUUUUCAGGAUGACUUAGCUAGGGACUGGGCUAGUAUGAUACGAGAGUUGUCAUCUGUCUUGUUCUCAUGACAAUUUGUUUGAGGAACUGCCCCCUAUUAGAAUUUGAAUAUUUGUGUAGAAUUUGAAUAUUUGUGUAUUUUAAGUACCCUCGUAAAUUCAUAAUGAAUUGUGUUUAGAUCUUGAACUGCGGAUUCUUAUUAAGUAUGUUUAUUGGAAUUCCAAUUAAUUCCGAUCUAUUUUUAAGUUGGAAUUCCGAUUUUUUUAUGUUGGAAUUCUGAUUGAUCCAAAUUUAUUUAUUUUUGAUUUUUUCGAUAUUCCGAAUAUUUCCGAUAUUCUGAAAUUUGGAAUAAAUUUUGUUGUUCCGAAAAAAAUUGGAAUGGAUUUGGAAGAAAUUUUUUGAUUUCGAUUUUCGAUUUAUUUUUUUCGAACAUGCCAUUUUCGAUCCGUUCCGUCCGAUUUCCACCCCUAAUAUUGUGUAUGUUAAUCCACUCCUACUUGUAAUAAAUAAAUAAAUAAAAACAUAAACUUAGAUAAUAAAACCUACUACAAUAAAGAAUAAAUAUUUUUAUGUGACCAUUGUAAUUGUUGAACAUAAUAUAAGAGUUUAGAGAAACAAUAUCAUUUCAAAAUUCAGCAUUUAAAAAAAAAAGUAUAGAAUACAAUCCCUUAAAUAAAUUUAAGUUGAAACUAACCUCAAGUAAAUCUUUAGUGAUUAAACAAGAAAUUGUUAAACGCCUCAAUUACUUGUGAGUUUUACUUUCAAUUAUUACAAUAGUUUUAUCAAAAGUUCAAAUUUAAAGUAGAAAGAGAGAGGGGGGGGGGGGGGGGGGAAGAUGAGAGAGAACAGAAGAAAGGGGAUAUAAGUCUCUUCGGUUUUGUUUCUUGAAUUCGAUAGCCACCUAGUUAGUUUUCUGGUUUGUAGGCAACUAAUUUAUAAAGUUUAUCUGCUUAUAAUGAAAUUACUUUGAUAACCCUAAAAAUAAAUAAAAUUAAAGAAGUGAUAUUUGGUUUUUGUUAAAGAGGAGAAGAAAUUUUUGGGUAUGAUUUCGGCAUCAGGAAAAAAACAUUCCUCCCGCGUUAUAGAAGUAGAGAUGAGUCGAUGUAUGUACUAGUGGGUCUUUUGUUUGUGUUUUAUGACCUGACGUUGUGUUGUACAGGUUGAUCAGGAUUGUACCUGGUUUGGAUCUUGGAUUUUAAUGAAAUUUAAUUAUUGUAAAAUAAAAUUAAAUUUGGAAAUAGUUUAUUUCAGGUAGCACGUGAAAAACAUGUGUUUGAAAUGAAUAAUUACUGUCAAAACCACUGUUAAUAACAGUCAUUUAUCAAAUUUGGAGGUUGGACCCAUUAGUACGAAAAUGACGGCUAUUAACAGUCAUUUACGAACAAUUGUUAGUGGCAGUCAUUUAAGAUUUUAAACAACAACGGUUAAAAGCACUCGUUUAUGAAAAACGACUCCGAAAUUAACGACUACCUUAGCAAUUGUCCAUGACAGUCGUAUAUGCUUAAAAAUGACUGUUAUUAACAGUGGUUUAUCUUAUAAUCUGAUGUAAACAAGAAAAAUCCCUUGAGAUCAACAAAAGUCCAUCAGUCCCUUGGACUAUAAACAAGAAAAAUCCCUUAAGAUCAACGAAAGUCCCUCAGUCCCUUGGAUUAUAAACAAGAAAAGUCCGUUGAGAUCAACGAAAGUCCCACAGACCCUUGGACUAUAAACAAGAAAAGUCCCUUAAGAUCAACGAAAAGCCCUUUGGACUAUAAACAAGAAAAGUCCUUUAAGAUCAACGUAAGUAUCUAAGUCCCUCAGUCCCUUGGACUAUAAACAAGAUAAGAAAGUUGGAAGAGAAAAUUCCCUUGGUCUCUAAACAUGCAAAAGUCACUAUAAACAACGAAGGUCUCGCGGUUCCUUGGACUAUAAAUAAGAUGGGAAUGUUGGAAGAGAAAGUCCCUCUAGUCAUUUUAAUAUACUAAUCUUGCAGGUAAUAUUUUCAACAUGAGAAAAAAAAGUUAGCUAUGGAAUAAGGUACAAACACACCAUGCAUGAGGUAAUAUCCUUUUUUUUUUGUUUUUUUCUCAUAUUACUUAUGUUGAGGACAAUGCAAUAUCUUGUUUGGGGGUGUCUGUUUGACUUUCAUUUUAUGUGUUAUUUUGUAUAUUUUUGAAAAUAAAUAAUGUGUGACUGUAUGCUAUGAUGUCCCAUGAAGGUGCACAUUUUAUUCUUGUUUUUAUGAGUGCUUAGGAAGUUUGUUUGGUGACCCUGUUAUUGGAAUGCCAUUUUGCGUUGAUUUGUGUUUUAUAGAUGAAUUCCACAUGAAGAUGUUGGUGGUAAAAACUAAAUAUAUUGGGUGGUGGUUUGAAACUCAUAUAAUUUUGCCUUCUUAUUAUAACGAGAUGAAAAACAUAUCAUAAUGUGAUAUUGUUUAUUCUUUUAAGUUCGUAAUUUAUGUUACGAUUCUGCAAGCUCGAUUUGGAAUUAUAUGAUCAUUUGGGUUUUGGUUGUACUCCAUUCAUUGAGGCUUGAUAAACAAUUUAAAAAUGAGGAUUGGGAGUUGGAUUUUGUUUAAGUGCAAUGCAAAAUCCAACACAUAUGUUCCACAUUUUGUCAUAUUGUUUUAGAUUAGAAUAAACAAAAUAAGUCCCUCAGUCUUUUCUACUAUAAACAAGAUGGGAUGUUGGAAGAAAAAAUCGCCUGGAAUAUACACAAGAAACCUUAAAAUUAACGAAAGUCCCUUAAUGCCUUGGACUAUAAACAAGAUGGGAAUGUGGGAAGAGAAACGUCCAUUGGAAUAUUGAUAAGUCCUCAAAAGUGUAUAUUUAUCCCUCGAAUACCACCUUGUUUGCAUAACACUUAGCUUAAAAAUGAGGAUUAGUUGGAUUUUGUUUAAGUGCAAUGCAAAAUCUAACACAUAUGUUUCACAUUUUCGCAUAUUGUUUUAGAUUAGAAUAAACAACAAAAGUCCCUCAGUCUUUUCUACUAUAAACAAGAUGAGAUGUUGGAAGAAAAAGUCGCCUGAAAUAUACACAAGAAACCUUAAAAUUAAUGAAAGUCCCUUAAUGCCUUGGACUAUAAACAAGAUGAGAAUGUGGGAAGAGAAAAGUCCAUUGGACUCUUGAUAAGUACCCAAAAGUGUAUAUUUAUCCCUCGAAUAACACCUUGUAUGCAUAACACUUAACUUACAUUAUUGUGUUAUAUCUAUUGAUUAGUGCUUUUUUAUCAUUUGUGUAGGUUUCACGAGCCAAAAAAUGAAUAUUGUGUUAAAGCCUGCCAAAAGCCAAGAAAAGCAAUUAAAAGAGUGUUAUUUGCACAAAAGAGAGAAAUUGCUAUUUACACCCAUGCAGUUGCUUAAGGUACCCCUUGGGCUGGUCUUGUGGACUUGACUUUAUGUCCAAGAUGGGUGAUCCAAAUCCCAGCUCAAUCCAAUUUGUAAUGAAUAGGACUGGCAAAAUGACUCGAGACCCGUUAACCCGACAGGCCGACACGAACCCGACCUGAGUUAAACAGGUUUGGGUUUAGCUUUAUCGGGUUUUCAUGACCUGAACCUUUAAACCUGUUUAUUAUAUAGGCCAGAUUUAGGUCUGACCACUAACAGGUCGGAUCAACCCGAAACCCGAUAAAAUACUUUGUUUCUUCCCAUAUUCAAAUCACCUUUUCGUCUCUCUCUAUCUCUUUCCUAAUAUUUCUUCUUCAAUGGUGGCUGAUGUGAGUGUUUUGUUUUAUUCUAUAGGGUUAUUUAGAUGAACAAUGAGUUUUAGUUUUAUUAGUGCAACAACAGUAGAUGAAGGUAGAACAAUAAGUAGUAGUAAUGAAUUGAUUACUAGAUACUUGUUUGGUGGUGGUGGUUCUUUUUUUUUUUCUUCUACAAUCACUGCUACUUCCUAUUCAAGUUCUUAAUUUCUCCAUGGGAAAAACGUUUUGAUUUAAGGGUAUUUUUUUUUAUUAAUUUAAUAAAUUCUUUCAACAAAACCAAUCUUCUUUGCAGAUUCAUUCAAUUCCUAGAAAAAUUCUAAUUUUUAAAUAUUUUGUUUAUAAAGUCAGGGAAAAUUUAUUUGCAGAGAAGUGAUUCACCAACAUCAGAUCAACAAAAAAUGAGAAAACAAGAAAGAAAUCAAAUAAUUCAAGAUUUGAACUUCCUCCCAACUGAUGAUGGUCAAAUUUAGAUCGAAAACUUAUUCCUAUCUUAUGAUUAUGAAAGUGUUUGUACACUUGAUAAAAUGAAAUUAAUGUCAGAAGAAGCGAGAAAGCCAAGAAAUAUCUUUAUUGGUAUCAAUUUAUCAAUCCACAUCGAAAUCAAUACUUGACUGCUUAAUAAAUGGGUUUAAACAGGUCGACCAGAACCCGACCUGUUUAAUUAGCAGGUAGGGUUCGGGUUGGGAAAAUAAAAUUAUACAGGUUAACAGGUCAGGUUCGGGUUAAAGCAAAAAAUGCAUCAACCUGUUAAAACGCGACACGAACCCGACACGACCCAACACGAUUGCCACCCCUAGUAAUGAAGCCCAAGGGUCAAAAGAUGACACGAACCCGACACGACCCAACACGAUUGCCACCCCUAGUAAUGAAGCCCAAGGGUCAAAAGAUCCAUUGAAGCCUGUUACUUGAAACUCAAUUUUAAAAAGGCUCUAUAUAAUGAUCUAGAACUCCGAUUUGGGCCUGUAAGGUGUCUAUCUGAAUGUAUUGAUCCAAGGUACAACUUGGGACCAAAAUAAUUAAGGUUCUAUGUGGUCUUUCUGCUUCUAAAAGCCCUACAGCAGCCACAACGAAUUUUGACCUAACUUAGAGAGCAAGUAUACUUUGUGUGCAAGCAAAGUAAUUUCUUAAUUCACUAGGACUCAUGCUUUGUAUUCUCUAUAUAAAGAUAAGCUAGGGUUUAGAUAGUUCAAGUUCUCUUCUCUCUUGAACUCAAAGUCUUGAACUUGUAUUUUUGAUUCUUCUUCUUAUUCUUAAUAAUAAUCAAUUCUCCUUUCCAUUAUGAUGUUGUCUUCUUUAGAUAGCAAAAAACACUCUAGAUAAUGCAAAAAACACUAUGUUUAUUCUCUUAUGUUCAUUGUGAUUCAAAGUUCUUAAUGCUUGUUUAUUUCAAUCCAUGAUAAGAAGUAGGCAUGAUUAUUUAUGUGUUUAUUGUAUCCAUGUUGUUAAAUGAUAUUGUUAAAGUAUAUGGAGACCUAGCUAUAAUGAUGGUGUUACAUUAAUUGGAGAAGUGACUUUCAUAUAUCUAGAAUUAAUUUUUUUAAUUGGAACACAUUUGUAAUCAAGUUGAAUAGCUGAGAGGUGACAACUUGAAUACAAAUCAAUAUGUUGAAUUAAUUGAAUUGAAUAACUGAGAGGUGACGAUUUAAUUAAUGAGAUAUAUUCAAUAAGCACAUAUAAAGAAUCCUGUUUUAAUCAAAUGGAACAGCUGAGAGUUGAUUAUUCGAUUAUUGUAGGCAUUAGUGAUUAUUUGGAAUAACUGAGAGGUGAUUAAGUAAUUGUUAUAGAUUGAACAUGAUUGAAUAACAUAUAUGUUUUGGAUUAUUUAGUUUGUGGAUACCAACGUGUUUCCACCUAUUCAUCAUAAGAUCUCCUUUCAUCUUCUACUAUUAGUUUAAUUAUUAGUUUAUUUAUUUAAUUGCCUGUAGGAAGUAGAAUCAAUUCAUAUCCUAUUAAUUGAUUCAUUGGUGUUCUUAAGUUAUUGUUUUCUAUGGUGUUUGAGCUAAGAAUUCCCCAUUCGAGUUCGAUACGACCCUUGUUUGUUACUUGUUCUACUUUGAUAAUCAAUAUUUACAGGCAUAAGAAGAAAAAUCUCUCUACAAAUUCAUCUUUUGAUUAGUAGGUACACAAAUAUCCAACUAUCAACUAUAAACAAGUAAAGUGCAUUGAGAUCAAUGAAAGUCCAUCAGUCUCUUGGACUAUAAACAAAUUGGAAUGUGGGAAGAGAAAAUUCCAUUGCACUAUAAGCAAGUAAAGUUCGUUGAGAUCAACGUAAGUCCCUCAGUCCCUCAGUGGACUAUAAACAAGAAACGUCCCUUUAGAUCAACGAAAGUCCCUCAGAUUAUAAACAAGAAAAAUCCUUUAAGAUCAACGAAAAGUCCCAUGGACUAUAAACAAGAAAAGUCAGUUGAGAUGAACGAAAGUCCCUCAGUCCCUUGGAAUAUAAACAAGAAAAGUCCCUUAAGAUCAACUAAAAGUCUUUUGGACUAUAAACAAAAAAUGUCUUUUAAGAUCAACAAAAAUCUCUAAGUCCCUUAGUCCCUACGACUAUAAAUAAGAUGGGAAAGUUGGAAGAGAAAAUUCCCUUGGACUAUUGUGUGUACCCUAGGUAAAAAACCCGACAGGUGUCACCGAUGGCUGUAUAAGAAGCUAAACCGGGAGCACCUGAGCAUUAGCCAGCCAAGCCUGGGCUAUCGGGUAGGGCCCAACCGGGUCUCAAGGAGUCCACAUACGCUCUGUGGACCUUGACCCACCGGAUAGUCCAUGAUCGAUGGGUGGAGCCCCGGUUACUGUAUAAGAAGUUCAACCAUGGGCUCCCAUACAUCAGCCAGGCCCACCUCAGUCAAGUAGGCCAGGUCCGGCCCAGUAAAGUCUAGUAGCGACAAAGGCUUAUCCAAAGGCUUAAUACAGAAGUCUAGAGGACCUGGCCAGGGUGUAUGCAAUGAAGAUUGGGCCUCCGGUCAGAGGAGUCAAGCCCAAGUCUUUGCUUUCAGGCUUGGUCAAUCCAAGUCCCAACCAACUUGAUAAGUCCAGCGAGAUUCCAGGCUAACAGAACCCACGGUUCUAGCCCGCUGGAGAAGAUGAAGGAAGACCCAGGCUGAACCAGGACCUAUCAGAGGAUGCCACGUGGCAGUCAUCCUGGUCAAAGGGAAUUCAAAACAAGGACAUAACCGCUCGGCAGGAUGCAAGCUAUCUCCACUGAAGGCAUCUUCACAGUUGAACUACCUGAGUUCAUGGAGUCAAAAUCGGAGGGGUGGUUGAGCCAGCCUCCUCCGGCAGUACGGCCUACUACAAAUACAAGAGUUCUAAACCUCCUAAACUACGAGUCUUCCACUGAGCAACUCCAUUAGAGCUUAGCGGAAGCAGAGACUUGAUUCCAAGUUCAUCUUCUUGGAUACGUAGGCAGCCUGAUCCCGAUAAGGUCCAGUCUCAUUGUAUACCCCCCAUCUUACCUCUGUCUAUACAAGGCUUUUAUUGUAACUGUUCGAUUAAUCUAUACGUAUCUCGAGUUUGUGGAUCAAAUUUUUGCACCCACACUCUUUGGCGCCCACCAUGGGGCUGAAUCUCCCAUCAGUUCCAGAGCCUUGCAAGGAAUCUAGAUCCAGUCAUACCAGAGUUGCUGCAGCAAUGGCUGGAAGUAAGAGACGCCCAACUCAUUCCAACAAUAGAAUGAGCCAAGUUACUGAAAGUCAGACAGAGAACCUUUCUCAUCUGUCUCCGAUUCUUGAAGCAAGGGAACCUGUGAAUCGGGAAUCAGUUCUCGGGAGUGAAGGCCGCGAUCAGGGCUCGCAACACUCUAAAAGUGGACAGUAGGAGGCAGAGAACUUAGUGGUGCAAAUCCCUAAUGAUCCUGGUAAUCCUAAUACAGUCAACCGGACCGUCAGGAUACCGGCAUCACAAGAUCCAGAACCCUCCAGUGUAGCCGCUGCAAGAAGAGACCAGAGAACAUCUCCCCUGACAACGGGAAGAGUCCCCAACUGCAAUCAUCCAGCGACUAACCAGGGAAAACGCAGAACUAAGGAGAAAGAGGAGAACCAGGGCCGGAGAUAGCCAGUCAUCUACAGCCCCAUCUUCGAGUCCAUCUCCUCAGAAGAAGAUAAGGCCACGGUCGGGUAGUGACCGGAGUCUUACCCCUCUUAGCCAUUAUACCCGUCCAGUUUGGGGCAGGCUAACACCAGGGAGAGAUAGGAUGUCUGCUCCCCAGUUCAGAGACAUCGCCGCGGACGUGCAAGAACACCCGGGCCACGUCAUGGCCGCAGGGUUACCCGCAGCAGGUUUGUAGAAGAAGUCACUCGACCAGAAGGACAACACCGGAGGAGGCACCAGAGCACUCCCCGGCACGCCACUGUCAGAGGGGAAGGAGUCCCCAGAGGGCCCGCACCCAUCAAAGAUAACCGGAGCUGAGUGUGGAACAGAUGAAUCAACUCAAGCUACAAGAGAUGAUCGACCUGGCUGUUUCCAACAAAGCUAACCAGGAUGAACGAACCAGGAAGCUUACUCUCUCAAGGCUAGCUGUGUCACCAUUGGCAGAAGAAGUCAGGAGUCAUAUAGUCCCGGGCAGCUUCAAGCAGCCGCCCUUCGAACAGUAUGACGAGGCAAGUGGUUGUUCGGUUCAACAUGUUAUGAACUACAAAAACACCAUGGCCAUCUGGGACCAUGAUGACAAGCUACUUGCGAAAAUGUUUGCUGCUUCACUCAAAGGCGAAGAGCAGAGGUGGUAUCACAAUCUGCCACCCACAUCCAUCCACACAUUCGUACAACUGGCUGAGUUGUUCGAAGAAUAGUACCGGUUUAAUGUGAAGACUAAGAAGGGAGCUGAAGUUUUAUUCUCCCUGUAGAUGAACCGGAGCGAAACACUCAGGAAUUUCGCCCGAAGGUUCCGAACCCUACUAUCUGAGGUACAGGACGCAUCUGAUAGCGUUGUCAUUCAAGCUUUUAAGUACGCCCUGAACAACAACCAUGAAGAAUUGUACCGAUCACUGGCGAGAAAGCCUCCCUCCUCAGUUUCGGCCUUGCUCGAGAAAGUAGAAAGGUAUGCUCAGGAGGAGGAUGACCUGAAAGCCAGAAGAAAGAGACUUGCCAGAGGCUAAACCUCCGAGAAGUCGCAGAAGGCAAAGGAAGAAAGCUCCGGUAGGGAUCACAGAGAGGAAAAAGCCCCUUACAGAAACAAAGACAGGAAGGGGAAAAUGCCAACCCGACAAUCAGACCGCCGGUCAGAGAAGUCUACCGGGAGCGAACGCAAAGAGAGGGAAUUCACACCCUUGAGGUUCCCGAUCGAGUGCUGCUCAACAAGCCUGCCCCUCUUCCGACAGACCCGAAGGGCAGGAGAGAUAAGUCCAAGAAGUGUGAUCAUCACAAUGAUUACGGUCACGAGCUAAAGAAUUGCAGGUUAUUGAAGUACGAAAUGCAACGUCUGGUCGAUGUCGGCCUCAUCCUUGACAUGGAACACACUGGAGCAGUCGAACAGGUAAAAACCGGAGAUCGAAUUGUAUAUGUCUGCCAUGUACAGACACUCGGUUCUUCCAAGACAGGGAGGAAGAAUUGUGCCCGGGAAAUAGGGGUGCAAUUCGAGCCAAAAGAGCUGAGCUAAGGUAUGCUCGAACUCGGCUCGCGAGCCAACUUCAAAACUCGAACUCGGCUCGUUUCGGCUCAUUUGGCUCGUUUAAGCUCGUUUGGCUCGUCUGGCUUGUUAAUACUGAUUCACUGAUCUGAUCAAACGGGUUUUGUAAUUGUUGAGAAAGUGAGAGGGAAAUCAACAGUAAUUGACUAAUAGGUACAUCAAUUAUCACAAUCCCCAUUUCCUUUUUUUUUAUCAAGUUUGAUGCACUUUCAGUGUCAUAGCAUUCUUUGAUUGUACUUGGAAAUUAGUUUGAAGUUCAAGAUUACCUGUUGUUUGUAAUUUGUUGAAUGAGAUCUGAGAUUAAAAGUUGAAGAUGUUUGUUUGUUGAACGAGAUCUGAGAUUAAUGGAAGAGAGAAGAUGAAGAGAGAAGAGAGAAGAUGCUGUAUUGCUGCUUGCUCUAAUGCUCUAUUGUGUUGGACGGACCACAGACAGAUAUAUUUUAAGCCCAUCAGUCAUUCAGCCCAUAAGACCAUAAGUCCAUUAUAGAUAAGGCCGAGGUAAUAUAGUAAUUGACUAAUAGUUAACGAGCUACUCGGCUAGGCUCGGGCUCGUGACGAGCUCAAAAAUCUGCUCGAACUCAGGUCGUUUAGAUAAAUUAGCGAGCCGAGCCGAGCUUUUAUCGAGCCGAGCCCGAGCCGCUCGGCUUAGAUUGCAGCCCUACCAGGAAAAGCUCCGGUGGAUAGGGCAUGUCCAUGAGGUUGGACAACUAAACUUCAACGAAGGGACGAACACUGAGUCCAUUGUCCCCAGAGGUUUGACAUUCACCGAGAAGACGAAAGGGGCGUACAUUAUCCACAAAAUGACGGCCUGGUCAUCACAGCAUGGAUUGGAGUCUACCGGGUCCGGCGAGUCAUGGUCGACGUCGGUAGCACCUCCAGCAUCAUGUUCUCAUGUGCUUACAAGGCUAUGGAGCAAUCUAAGGGUCUCAUCGAAUCUGAUGAGAUUCGUAUCUAUGGGUUCCACGGGGAGCCAUCACAGUCCUUCGGGCGGGUCCACCUGCCAAUCACGGUAGGGUUCAACACCGUCGGGAUAGACUUCUUGCUGGUCGACUCCCCCUCCUGCUACAACGUCAUCUUGGGAAGGGACUGGAUUCAUCAGAUGAAGGGCAUAGUGUCCACCUUCCACAAAAGCCUCAAAUUUCCAACUCCCAACGGAAUUUGCAAAGUCAAGGGAGACCAAGGGACAACAUUAAAGUGAUAUCUCGAUGCUGUCAAGGGGAAGUCCAUUUCCGAAACGAAGGGGACUACUAUCUUCUUGACAGACUCUCAUCAAUAGCAACCAGCUCUCGGCAAGUCUGUCAAGGGGAAGCCAAACACAAAAACCGGGAUAUCACCAGCGGUCGACGAGCUGGAAGAAGUUAUAGUGGGAUUGGAGUCCCACAAGACAACUUACAUCUCCUCCGACCUACCAAGGGCUGAGAAGGAUCUCAUGAUCACUCUGCUCCGGAAGAAUCACCACGUCUUUGCAUGGAGUGUCAGCGAGAUGCCGGGAAUUGACUCUUCGGUCGCCUGUCAUAAGCUAGACAUUGAUCCUCAGUACAAGCCGGUCAAGCAGAAACCAAGGCGAAUGGCGCCAGAUCGAAAGCUGGCGGUCAACGAAGAAGUCGAUCGACUACUUCCAGUCAACUUCAUCAAACCAGUCAUCUACCCUACCUGGGUUUCCAACAUCGUGGCUGUCACAAAGAAGAACGGUAAGAUUCGAGUUUGCAUUGAUUUUACUAAUCUUAAUAAAGCAUGUCCUGUGCACCCAUAUCCACUCCCCAGGAUCACAGACAUGGUGGACGCCACCGCUGGCUAUCAAAGAUUGUCCUUCAUGGACGCCUACUCUGGAUACAACCAGAUUCCACUUCACGAAGAAGAUCAGGAACAUACCGCAUUCAUCACCAAUCGAGGGCUCUACUGCUACCGGGUGAUACCAUUUAGUCGGAGGAAUGCCGGAGGAACAUACCAGAAGCUCGUCAACACCAUCUUCAACGAGCUCAUAGGCCGGACCAUGGAACUCUACAUACACGACAUGGUGGUCAAAACCAAGGAGAAAGACAAUCAUUUGCGAGAUCUACAACAUACAUUCGAUAUCCUGACAAGGUACAAUAUGGAGCUGAAUCCAGCCAAAUGUUCUUUCGAUCUUUCUUCUGGCAAGUUCCUUGGCUUCCUCAUGACCAACCGGGGCAUAGAAGCCAAUCCAGAUCAGAUCCGGACAGUCUUGGAGAUGCCCGCCCCGAAGACAGUAAAAUAAUUCCAGAGGUUAACCGGGAGGUUAGCCGCUCUCAACAGAUUCAUCUCCCGGUACUCAAACCGAUGCAAGCCAUACUUCAACGCAAUCAAAGCUAAUGCGGAAUGGAAUCCUACUUAUCAGCAAGACUUCGAUGAAAUCUAGGCAUAUCUCACUCAACCUCCGGUCCUUACAACACCACAAACCGGGCAGCCAGUCGACAUCUAUCUGGCCGCGUCUGACAUUACAAUUAGUGCGGUUAUAUUUGUGGAAGAACUGGAGGAGAAACCAGUUUACUUCAUCAGCAAAGUGUUGCAGGGAGCUGAGACAAGGUAUUCAAAAAUCGAAAAGAUUGCCUUAGCCCUGGUACAUGUAGCCAGGAGGCUAAAGCCAUAUUUCCAAGGGAGCGCGGUUAAAGUCUACACAGAGUUUCCGCUCAGAAAAGCUCUUGGAAAGCAGGAAGAAUCUAAUCGACUGAUCGAAUGGUCCAGCUACCUCAGUGCAUACCACAUCCGGUAUGAACCCAGAACCGCGGAGAAAGGGCACUCAAAGCCUCCUUGAUGCCAGACUUUCCCAUUGAGGAUAUCCUGGUUAACCCAGAUUUAGAAGAAGAUGCACUGGGGGCGAACGAUUCCCCCCGGUCACAGGAGUCUCCGGCCAAAGAAGAGAUCGAAGCAUGGACAAUCUACACUGACGGGUCCAGUAACUGUACAGGAUCCGACAUUGGUUGUCUCCUAAUCAGCCCAGAUGGACAGAAGACAGAAAAAUCUGUCAGACUGGGAUCCCCAGCUUCAAACAACGAAGCUGAGUACAAAACUCUAAUAUAUAUAGUCUCCAGACAACACUCCAACUGGGGGGGUGGAGAGUCAUGGUCAAGACAGAUUCAAAGAUAGUAGCGAACCAGUUCGCCGGAUCCUUCCAAGCCAAGGACGACCGGAUGGCAAAGUAUCUCGAUGUCGUCCACUCCAUGGUAGGGAAGUUUGAAUUCAUCACGAUCGAGCAGCGACCAAGGAUAGACGUCAGGCACGCAGAUGCCCUGGCGUAUCUUUCUUCUUCUAUCAACACUACGGAGCCCCGACAGCUAUCAAUCAGAUACCAGAAAGAGCCGAGUAUCGGGCCCAAAGAUCCAGACAUGCCGCUACCGGAAGUCUAUCUCUUGGAGUACAGGCAUUGGAAUGAAGUUCUCAUGGUGACCACCAGAGGACAGAAGAGAAAAAGAGAUGAAGAAGCUUCACAACCCGACAACGAGUCCAGCACACAGGACAAGCCGAGUCAUCCAUCUCAAGGUCAGACGCAUGACCCCCCAGAAUCACAACUUGAAGACUGGAAUCCUUGCCUCACCAGAGGCCGGAUAGAAGCGAUGCCACCUUCAACGGAACCGGAUGAACCAGACCCGUCCGAACCACCGCUCUCGCAUGUCCACAUCGAUUUGGAGCUCCCACCAGAGGAACCAACUGAGGACUUUCCAGACAACCUGAAUUCUAAAGUAGACAGAAUUGACGCCGAGUUGUAGUCCAGCAAUGGUCAAGGCUGGAGGAAGCCAUACAUCAACUUCUUUAUCCACCAUUUGCUUCCCGAAGAUCCAAAGCUGUCAGCCAAAAUCAAGAGGGAUGCAUGGAAAUUCACUGUCAUACCGCACCGGGAGUCACACAGGCUGUACAUGAAGAGCCAUGGCUCCGGGGUCUUGUUCAGGUGCCUCACUCAAAAAACAAGGCCUGAUCAUACUAAAGGAAAUCCAUGUUGGGAUCAGCGACAACCACUCCGGUAGCAAAAAUCUAGCACAUAAGACAAUGAUCCAAGGAUACUAGUGGCCACACAUUAUGGGGGACGCGAAGAAAUUCACACAGGCAUGCCUCCCCUGUCAGUAGCAUGCCCCGGUCGGUCAUGCCCCGACAAAUGAGCGACAUCCCAUCCUGAGUGCAUGGCGCUUUGCCAAGUGGGGAUUGGAUAUUGUGCGACCGCUUCCAGAUGCUCCACAAUCAGUCAGAUUCCUAUUGGUCGCUACAGAUUAUUUCACCAAAUGGGUCGAAGCAGUAACAUUGGUACAGGCAUGUUCCUCCGACGUCAGAAGAUUUUUGUGGAAAGACAUAAUCUGUAAAUUCCGGAUCCCUCAAGAGCUAUAGUCAGAUAAUGGAAAAUAGUUCGACUGCGACAACAUCUGGCAGUUCCGGAAGUCCUUGGGGAUCAAACACAACUUCUCAGCCCCAUACUAUCCUCAGGGGAAUGGGCAGGCAGAAGCAUCCAACCCGGUCAUCUUGGAUCGACUGGUUAAAGCAAAAAGCAACUGGGUAAUGCCACUCCCGAGGGUCUUAUGGGCAUACCGGACCACCACAAGGAGGUCCACCGGUAUGACACCCUUUAAACUUACAUUUGGAGCAGAAGCGGUAAUGCCAACAGAACUGCUAGCUCCCACAACCCGCACUGAUGCAAUCCUUACCGGGGAGAAUGAAGGGAUUCUGGCAAGAGAAAAAGUUGUUCUUGACGACAAGAGAGAGUAGGCCCUACAACACCUCCUCCGGUACCAGGAAACCAUCUAAAGGGGAUAUGACAAGCGAGUCGUAAAGAAGAAAUUCAAUCCGGGCGACUGGGUCGUGAGGAAAGUCAAAGUCAUGACUGAGGAUACAACCGCCGGAAAGCUUGGAGAAAACUAGAAAGACCUUACAUCAUAGACAGACAUGCUGCGAAAGGCUCAUACUUCCUUAGAACUCUGUCCGGCAACCUCUUUUCAAGGCCAUGGAAUGCUUUCCACCUCAAGAAAUUCUACAAGUAAUGUACUCCAUUUGAUGAUUUCAAUAAAGAUUCUUUCCCGCAAGAAUUAAAGUACUUUGUAUUACUUAUUGCUGAAAAUCCUAGUGCAAGAUCAAGUCUCCAAUGAGGUCUAGGAUGCCCGGACCUAACUUCCAAUCCUGGCUAAGUCCUAAAUGCAGAGUUAUGCUCCUUUUAGUCCCAAGACGUCCGGACCUAGCUUCCGAUUUUGGAAAUCAAAGAUGUCAGGGAUCAAAUUCCAUCCAACCCAAGGUGCCCGGACCUAGCUUCUGAUCCAGGCUAAGUCUUAAAUGCAGAGUUAUGCUUCUUUUAGGCCCAAGACGCCCGGACCUAGCUUUCGGUCUUGGAAAUCAAGGAUGUCAGGAAUCAAACCCCAUCCAACCUAGGGUGCCCGGACCUAGCUUCCGAUCCUGGCUAAGUCCUAAAUGCAGAGUUAUGCUCCUUUUAGGCCCAAGACGCCCGGACCUAGCUUUCGGUCUUGGAAAUGAGAGAUGUCAGGGAUCAAAACCCCAUCCAACCCAGGGUGCCUGGACCUAGCUUCCGAUCCUGGCUAAGUCUUAAAUGCAGAGUUACGCUCCUUUUAGGCCCACGCCUGGACCUAGCUUCCGAUUUUGGAAACCGGUUUUAAGCAUCAAACCAUGGAUCCCCAUGAAGUUAGCGAGAAAAAGAACUGUUAUCGUCCCAAGGAAAACUCCUUAGAACGAUAAGGGGGCGAGGGAGAUAGACAAUUGUAUUAAAUGUUGUAAACAAGGUAAAGAUAUCUAACAAGGUAUUUUUUGCAUAACAAAAAUUUUAUUUCUUUUUCAGAAAAAAGAUGUACAAGAGGAAAUCCCCCGGCAACCGGGACAAGAACCUAUCUACAAAAAUAUAACGGAGUUAAGGCCGCGAAGAAGGUUCGGGGCCAUCACCGCCCUUCUUCGCCUUUUCCUUCUCCUGCUGGUAGACGCCGGUCUAGUUCCAGCUUCUCUCGGGUUAGCUUCUCGCAGGUGGCCUCCAGCUCCGCCAAGGAAGUCUUGGUAUCCUCCUCCCUCUGAAGAGCAGCGGUCAGGGUGAAGUCCAGAUUGUGAUAGUCCGCCGCCAUGAACCGUUUGUCCUCCUCCAGAGGCCACUGGUCACUGUUGGCCGCUGCCAGGUCUUUCUCGAGCUGACGUUCUCAGCACGUAGGCGCUCUAGAUCCUCCAAGGCAGAAGACGAAGGUCUGACACUCAGCUCAAAGACCCGGGCCAUGGCAGCCUGUUUUUGACAGGCAAGAGAAACAGAAGUCGGAAAACAUACAGACAUCAACAAGUCUAAAGCCAGAAUUCAAGGCAGGGAACCUUACCGCAAUCAGAUUCGGGGCAGCCACCCUCAUCGCCCGGUCGCGAGAAAGGCGACUGUAGUAUGUCGGGUCCUCCGGAAGCAGGUUCUGGAAGAUGUAAUCGAAGGCAGUGUGGAUGUUCAUAAUGUCGGAGUCCCCAAUCGACAUCGGCUCCCCAUUCAGAAAUGCAGGAUGAAUGGUGAACGCCGGCAGUGGGAUCUCUGGAGUAGCCUCAGGCUGGUAUUCGCCCGGUUCAGGGCCCAGUUGCACGGUUGGGCCAGUGGGCAGGUCAGUAUACGGGCCCUGGUCACCCCACCCAUAAACCGGGGCUUCAUGAUCAGCAGUGCCCGACACGGUAAACUCCACCUCAGUCUGGACGUCCUCGACAGCCAGAACAUCUUCAACAGGGACCCAAGAGCCAUACGAAUAGUCCCCGUCACCGGUCCCCUCAGCGCUCGAGGGAUGGCAUCCUCCCUUCUCAGGAGCAUAGCCUCCCCCUGGUCAGCAGGGGAGGCAGAAGCAGCUCUCUUCGAGCCCCGGGCAGACUCAUCUACUACAGCCUUGCCCCUCGAAUCAACCGGGGCAGGAGACUGUACAGAAACAACUUCAACAUCAGAAGGCUGGGAAGCUCUUACCUCCACUGAAGCCUCAACUCCAGCAUCUCCAACAAUGGGGGCGUCCACUUCAUCCAGCGGACCCCCCGGAACCACAGCUGGCUCACCUCCAUCAGCGGCAGAGGCGACCACCGUCUCCUCGGACACACCUCCCACUAUCUCCGGCUGGGCCAGGUUAUCCACCUCAGCAUGUACCUGCACCGGGGUAGGAAAGAAUCCCUCAGUAGCUGAUUCGUUGGACCCACGGGAAAACAGAACUCGGCUAUCCCUCGACAUCAGGCUAGGAUCACCGGAGGAGUCAGAUGAGCCAUAAAAAACAUGUGGCCUCCUCCGGCGAUCCAAGGGAGGGUUCGAAUGACAAACAGAGCUAGCAUCACUGACCUGGACAUCCCUGACAACUGGGAUGACUUCCGACAGAACGUCCGGCAUUGGAUCAUCAGGAGAAGAUCUUCCCCCGACUGGAAGAGCGUCGUCGGGCCAAUCGUCCAUCUCCCCCCGCAGAUCAACAGCCUCACUCUCAACCAGAGGCUCCUCCUCGGCAUUGGGGACUAUGCUCUCCACAGUAGCAGCACCCUCACCAAAACUGGAUUCUACCUUCACGACUUGCGGAGGGGCCGGCAGGGUUACAAGCCUGGCCGGGAAGCGGAUGUGCAUCACAAUCUGGUCAGGAAGUGUCAGGUCUCGCAGGUCUGCGGGCAGACUGAAAAAGUGCUCAAUGUUUUCUUCAGCAGCAGAGGAAUCCAACCCCGCUGGCAGAGACACCUGAAGCUGACGUUUCCCUGCAAGCACAAGCAUGGAACUGUUGCUGAGCCGGAGCUCAGCAAGCACGCAGAACAUAAAGGCACAAAUAAAAGAAAGGUUAGGCGCAUGCUUACCUAUGAAGUCCCACGACAUCUGUAUGUUGCGGUCAGACGACCACCCUGACUCCCAGUAGCAAGGUUCGAACCAAUCCCAUAGUGAUUGGGAAGCCUAGAGAACCUCCGGGAAGUACGCCAAGAAAUGGCGUAGAAGCAGCGUUCCUUGGACUCCCGGGCUACCGGUUUCAUGAGCGUGAACAUUUCGACCAGUGCCAAAGGGAAUCUCAAAGUGGAGGGCGAUCAACCCGAUCCGACGCACAAUUAUCCAGAAGGACACAUGCAUCUGACCCGGCGGGAACCCCCACCACGACAACAGUCUCAGAAUAGAAGAAUGCAACGGGAGCUGCAUGCCAUACAGAAGUUGGUAAAGACUUACUGCAAUGAGGUUGCGGGAGCACAAGUCUGAAAUGUAGGGUUGAGAGCCAAACCGAACCCCUCUCCAGCCAAGCUGCUCUUGAACUUCCGCCACGCUCCUCCUUGGCCUCUUAACUGAAGGCUCAACAAUAUUUAGAGGUGCCACUGCUGCCACAUCAGUAGGCGUGGGAGGCCCAGUCACCGGAAUGCCACUUGGUUCGCCCUCAUCAAUAGAGGGACGGGGAGCCAAAUUCUGAGGCUCUUCGUCACUACUUGAGCUCAGAACUAAAGUUCUCCUCAUCGUUGGGGUAAAAUGUUCGCGAAAUCACCGGAAUUUGGAGUUUUAGAACCUAGGGUUCCGACAAAAUGAAAUGAAGCUGAAGAAGAGAAAGAAGAGAGAGAGAGAGAGAGAGAGAGAGAGAGAGAGAGAGAGAGAGAGAGAGAGAGAGCAAGAUACCUUUCUCUCCUCUGAACUUUUCUUUUAUAAGCAGAAUCUAGGGUCCACCGGCUGAUGGUAUUCCGAAUAUCAUAAUGGACUCUCCAGUAAGAUCAUUAAACCAACUGGUUUAAAUGACUCGAUCAGCGAAGAGUCACAAGCUUUCACUGGAAGUUGAAGCUGUACAUCUUCCCACCAACGAAGGAAGAUUUUAGAGAAGACAAAGUGGGGCCCACUUAACACAGUCAGCUGAGGCCCACACUGCGCAGUCAUUUGGAACCCACAUCAGUUGGGGCCCACAUCAUGCACUUAGCUAAGAUCCGCUCAGCAUGUUCAGGUGGGAUCUACAUUGUCCAGGUCAGCGACAUGUGGACCUCCGGUCCAUGUCAUCACGGUCAAGGGAGAUUGACCGGCAUGUGUUCCUGCACUCAUCAUGAUGAGAAAGUAACUGGACCUAUCUACCGGAGCUCAAGAUAGUAAUAAAAAAGGAAUUGUUUUAUUACAAAGUGCAUUAUACAGGGUGCACCAAAUCCACUACAUAGUGCGACCGAAGCUAGAUUACAUCAAAGGGUAGACGGAGUGUUCAGACCGGACCCCUCAGGCGAGUCGGGGAGAUGGUACUUGGCUUUAGCUUCAGCGUAUCCUUCCUUCCAUGAAGAGACCGCAACAGCAUCAAUCUUGCCCCCCAUCCGGGCGAGCUCAGCAGAAGCAGAUUUCAGCCUUUUUUUGAGGCCUCGGAUUUCCUCAUCAUUAUCUCUGAUUCGGCCCUCAUGGCGCUCCUCCCACCGGCGUUGGUCUUCCACAAGCUCGGCCACUUGCACCUUCAAGUUGUUCACACUGCUAAGGAGGUGCGCUCGGUACUAUUCCCGAUUGUCACCAACGGAACUAGAAUGAGAAUGCCUAGCCACCAUGGAAGAUGAGCAAGGGAAGGAGAGAGAGAGAGAGAGAGAGAGAGAGAGAGAGAGAGAGAGAGAGAGAGAGAGAGAGAGAGAGAGAGAGAGAGAGAGAGAGAGAGAGAGAGAGAGAGAGAGAGAGAGAGAGAGAGAGAGGUAUAACUCAGCAAGAGUGAACACCUCCCUAUUUAACCCCGCAAAGGUUAAAAAGGUCUGGCCAUAGCCCAAUCGCUUUCCGAGAAGCAACGGUCUCCCAUGGACCGACAGUCAACCUGCCAAAAUCAAGAUAAGACGAGACAAACAGAGGCAUUGUUCAUAGGAAAAUGAAUUUUUAUUGAUGAACAAAAAUCAAAUAAAGAGCGCACCGAUCCUCAACAAAGGUGCGACAUUAACUAGUCUGCCAAAACAUUCCGCGAGGCGGUAGGAGGGGAAGCUGCGACCUGGUCCCAGCUAGCACCCUCGGCCGCAGCAUUGCCAAGUAUCCAGACCUUCUCUUUCAAGUUCUGAAUUUGUUCUUCGGCCUGUUUAAGCAAACCUUUAGAAAGCCGGAGAUCUCGGCGCACAGAUGCAAUAAUGUCAUCUCGCUUCUUGAGAGACAGCUUCAUGUCAUGCUCCAAUCGGACAACCUUCUCCAGGUUCUUCUCUUGGGCCUGCACAUGGUUGAACACGUGCUCCACUUUAAGGUUGAAUGCACGGUGAGCUAAGUCAGCAACUCGAUCGUCAACCAUUUUCCAGUAGAAGCUUCAGCAGCAGCAACAACAACAGAAACCGCGGAAAGAGAAGUGAAUAUCCUUUUACACCUCCGGUUUGCUAUUUAUGACCCACCGGAUGGUCGAUGAUCGAUGGGUGGAGCCUCAGUUACUGUAUAAGAAGUUGAACCGUGGGCUCUCAUACAUCAGCCAGGCCCACCUCACUCAAGUAGGCCAGGUCCGACCCAGUAAAGUCCAGCAGCGACAGAGGCUCAUCCAAAGGCUUAAUACAGAAGUCCAGAGGACCUGACCAGGGUGUAUGCAAUGAAGAUUGGGCCUCCGGUCAGAGGAGUCAAGCCCAAGUAUUUGCUUUUAGGCUUGGUCAAUCCAAGUCCCAACCAACUGGAUAAGUCCAGCGAGAUUCCAGGCUAACAGAACCCACGGUUCUAGCCCACUGGAGAAGAUGAAGGAUGACCCAGGUUGAACCAGGACCUAUCAGAGGAUGCCACAUGGCACUCAUCCUGGUCAAAGGGAAUUCAAAACAAGGACAUAACCGCUCGGUAGCAUCCACGCUAUCUCCACGGAAGGCAUCUUCACAGUUGAACUACCUGAGUUCAUGGAGUUAAAACCGGAGGGGUGGUCUAGUCAGCCUCCUCCGGCCUACUAUAAAUACUAAACCUCCUGAACUACGAGUCUUCCACUGAGCAACUCUAUUAGAGCUUAGCGGAAGCAGAGACUUGAUUCCAAGUUCAUCUUCUUGGAUACGUAGGCAGCCUGAUCCCGAUAAGGUCCAGUCUCAUUGUAUACCCCCCAUCUUACCUCUGUCUUUACAAGGCUUUUAUUGUAACUGUUUGAUUAAUCUAUACGUAUCUCGAGUUUGUGGAUCAAAUUUUUGCACCCACAACUAUAAACUUGAGAAGUCUCUAAAUAUCAACAAAAGUCCCUUAGUUACUAUAAACAACGAAGAUCCCUUAGUCCCUUGGACUAUAAACAAGAUGGAAUGUUGGAAAAGAAAAUCCCUCUAGUCGUUUUUAUAUACUAACCUUGCAGGUAAUAUUUCCAACAUCAGGAAUAAGGUUAGCUAUGGAAUAAAGUACAAACACACCAUACAUGAGGUAAUAUCCUACUUUUUUGUUUUUCUCAUAUAACUUACCUUGAGAACAAUGCAAUAUCUUGUUUGGGGGUAUCUGUUUGACUUUCAUUUACAUGUGUUGCUUUGUAUGUUUUCAAAUAUAAAUAAUGUGUGAUUGUAUGCUAUGAUGUCCCAUGAAGUUGAACAUUUUAUUCUUGUUCCUAUGAGUGCUUAGGAAGUUUGUUUGGUGACCCUGUUAUUGGAAUGCCAUUAUGCGUUGAUUUGUAUUUUAUAGAUGAAGUCCACAUAGAGAUGUUGGUGAUCUGAAUUUACUAAUCUCGACAAAAUCACAAUCAUAAAAGGCAAUUUAAAUCUGGACCUAAUCAAAAAUCUGAUUCAACUACUUAAAAAUAAUUUUAGAUCACUAUCCAAUCUCGGUAGGCAUCCAACGGUUGAAAAUAACUAACCAAACUAUAUUGAAGAAAAAUCAAACGACACCUUACUGUUGUAAUCAGUCGUGAAAACAUAGUUGCCAAGCAAACCUUUCAGAAGUGCUAGCUUUAACUGUUCAUCAGCUACUACAUUCUUUUUAACCAAAAAUAUCAACAAUCAUUUGGAUUAAAUUACAGUAGUAAAAAAGAAAAGAACAAAAUUGCAACGACGAGUUUCUCAUUUGAUGGAUUCAUAAACCCCCAUGUGCUAAUGGAACAUGUCUACAGUCAUUGUGUUUUUUUGUUUUGAUUGGCAAGCGGGCUUGAGGGGACACUGUGGAAACUUAUAUCAGCAAUCAAUUACUGUUGAUGUAUUUUGAACCCACAACCUCUCCACUUUGUGGGAGGGGUGCUUGGUGGUGGGGAUGUGGGUAAUUGAGCCUUAAGAUUCGUCCCAUAAUUUACUCUUCGAUCUAGCAAAAAAAAAAAAAAGAAAAGUCAACAACCAUGGCCUGCAAGAUUCGUGUUUAAGAACUAUUAGUCUUUCGGCCUUGAGUAAGCAUGUUCUUCUUCCAUCCAUCCAUCUAUCCAUCUAUCUUUCUUCUAACUUUAGUUAUGAGAGCAUCAAAGUAUCCAGACUUUGCUCUAUCUUGGAAUAUAGGCACACCUAGAAAGGGCAGGAAAUCAGGUCGGAUUUAUCCGAAUAUCAGAUCGACCGAAAUCCGAAUACAGGGGAUAUGGUUCAAAACAUUUAUCGAAUUUGAAUUCGGAUACAGAUCGGAUACGGAUAACAUUCAGAUAUAUACUUUUAUACAAAUAAUAUACCAUUUUUACAGAGCUAAUAUGGUUAUCAAAUUAUAUAUAAAAACAAAAACCUAAUAAUUCAAAUUUUUUAUUUAUAAAAUCCGGAUAUAUACAAAAAAUAAUUAUUAUAAUUUCUCAUAUUUAGUUUUUAGUUACAGAAAAUCAAACGGAAAAUAGAUUCGGAUAUUGGAUCCAAAUGAAAAACGGAUUAUCGAAUCUGGAUACGAAAAAUCAAAUACGGAUACGGUACAAAAAAUUCAGUCCGAGUCAGAUACGGAAACGGAUAUACCGAAAAACAAUUCAGAUAUGGAUUACUACAUAUCCGCUCUGGUUCCUGCCCUAACCUAGAUGAACCAUUUGAGAGUCUUUGUGUUUAAAUCCUUUGGAAUGUUGUAACAUAAGGAUUCUACCAACGGGUGUUUUUUUAUCCAUCAUAAAAGUAUGGGUUAUUUUGUAUUUAGUCCCUCUAGAAGAUGGGUAAAUAGUGUUUGUGAUAAGACCUCAAAAGUGUAUAUUUAUCCCCCGAAUAACACCUUGUUUGUAUAACACUUAGCUUACAUUAUUGUGUAAUAUCUAUUGAUUAAUGCUUUCUUGUCAUUUGUGCAGGUUUUAUAAGCCAAAAGUUGAAUAUUGUGUUAAAGCCCGCUAAAAGCCAAGAAAAACCAUUAAAAGAGUGUUAUUUGCACAAAUGAGAGAAAUUACUAUUUGUGCUCACAUAUUGCUGAGGGUACCUCUUGGACUGGUCCUGUGGACUUGACUUUAUGUCCAAGAUGGGUGGUCCAAAUCCAAGAUCAAUCCAAGUUGUAAUGAAACCCCACAGGUCAAAAGAUCCAUUGAAGCAUGUUACUUGAAGCCCAAUUUUUAAAAAGGCUCUAUAUGAUGAUCUAGAACUCCGAUUUGGGCCCGUAAGCUGUCUAUCUGAAGGUUUCCGGCAAGUUACAACCCAUUACUAGCCCUGUCUGAAGCAAAGUUAUAACCCAUUACUGUCUUUUGUAGAUCUAAGCUGAUAUGGUAGGAUGUGGCGAGUAAGUGAGAAGGUGCCAAGGUGAAAAGCCCGACAUCUCAAGCAAGGCUAAUUUUUCCAUUAUUUGAGACUAAGUUCAUUUCAUUACACCAGUUCGUUCUUAUUAAUAUAUGUGAGAUGAUUGUCUGUCUUCGUUUCUCACAUAGAGGUAAAAUGAUAAACACCAUCUCUGAGCGACUUUUAUUUCUGAGUGUAUGACUGUGAGGCAGAAGUCAAGACGACCUUUCCAAUGGUGACUUAAGACCCGUGGUAGCAUGGGUACAUGCCUGUCUUCAAUGCAUUUGAAAUCGUUAUGCUUGGUUUAUAUUUCAUAUUUUAUUCAUGCAUUUAUAGUAUGUUAUCUCAUAUGAACGGUUUUGCAAUACUUAUCCUUAUCCUUGAUAUGACCAUUUCUGAGGCAAAUGGUAGAAAUUCCUAUUCUUUGGAUUAGUCAUUGUAGUAAGUUUGUGGGUAAGUUCUCUGGAAAACCCUCAGGAGACUAUAACUCCUCCACUUGGAAAAUCCUUGUGGUUGAAAGCCUUAAUGUAUAUGGUUAAUGCAAUCUCCUUAGUUUUACUUCUCUUUUGAGUCCUUAAUUCUUUUCUUCUCACCUUUGCUUGAGGACAAGCAAAGUGCUGUUUGGGGGUAUCACCUUGUUUAUCUAGCACUUAGCUUAUAUUAUUGUAUUAUAUCUAUUGAUUAGUGCUUUCUUGUCUAUUGUGUAUGUUUUAUGAGCCGAAAUGCGAAUAUUGUGUUAAAGCCCGCCAAAAGUCAAGAAAAUCAAGGAAAAAAAUGGUAUUUGCACAAGAGAGAGAAUUGAUAUUUGGACCCACAUAUCUACUGAGGUCACCCCAUGGUCAGACCAGUUGACUUGACUUUAUGUCAAAGUGGGGCGGUCCAAAUCUCAGCCCAAACCGGGUCCUAUUGGAGCCCACAAGUCAGAAUUUCUAUUUAGGGCUUUAUUUAAAGUCCAAACUUAAAAAUGCUACAAGGAGAUCCAAAAGUCUGAUUUGGUCCCAUGAGCUAUCAAACUGAAGGUCUUGGUCCAAGCUGCAACUUAAGUCCAAGAGAAUUAGGUUUGACUGAAGACCUAAUGCCUCUAGAAGACCAACAGCAGAAGCCACGAAUUUGACUUAAUUUAGAAGUCUUUGCAUGCAAGUAUUCUACUUUGAAUUUUCUAUAUAAGAGAAGUAGUACCUUGAGAAACUACAAAUAGUGCUAAUCUAACAGUUCAAUAUUCAAACAACUUAAACGAUAUGCAGAAAGUAAAUAACACACAGAAAUUUUUAACGUGGUAAAACCCAAUAUGGGAAACGUCCACGGUUGUCCUCUCGACAACAAAUAAUCCACUAGAUGAAAAGAGAUGUACAAACCUAUCAACUACCUGCACUCACUGCGAGUUGAUACUCCUGGUUAUCUCUAACACCUUGACUUCACCAGAGCACCUUGAUGAACACACAAGGAUACUCGACUUCUUGAUGAACACACAAGAUGACUCGAAGCUAAAUCAAUAUAAACAAUAAUGAAGAAGAAGAUGAAUGGGGAAGAAGAAGAUGAGUUCAAUCACCAAAACCACCUAAACCAAAACCUAAACAAACUCCAAGAAACAAGAGGUGAAUUGGACGGCCAAAGAACUGACUUGUUCUUUGGAAGAGAAACCCUAUUUAUAGGGUUGGAAACCAAAGAAAAUGGGCCGAAUUAGUGAAAACCCAUAUUGGACGUACGUACGUCGAUAUGACGUUCGUACGUCUCCAAACGAAAAUAAGCCUGCUGCCUACUUGGACGUACGAACGUCCUGUAAAGGUACGUACGUCCAGAACACAAACUUCCCUGCUGACUACAUGGACGUACGAACGUCCUUACAAGGUACGUACGUCCACACCACAAAUUAUCUUGCUGACAUACCAUACGUACGUACGUCCUUAAGCAGUACGUACGUCCUGAACCAAACACCAAACUUGAGACACACGACGCGAAGACAAGGACAUGGGACGACGCGCGUACAAUCAGGUUUUCUUAACAAUGAACUCAAGGCGAAAUAACCAAGGACACUUUGUCACAAAAUUGAUGUCAAACCACUUCGUGCCGGUUUCAAUCUCCCCCUUUGACAUUGAUUUUGUGACAAAAACCUAUGACUCUAAUAGCACUUAUAAAACGUGCUUACAAACCCAAACCAUGGCAUUUAUAAAACAUGCCUACAAAAUCACUCAAGGUAGAAUACAUACCGAGUCACCAACACAUGAUAUCCAGCUUGAGUAAGACGCUUUAACCAUCAGAGACCGAACGGAAGCAACAAGAAUUUCUGAAACAAUCAUAGAGCCAACGAACAAGAAAUUCUGAAACAAUCAAAGAGCCAACGGAAGUUCCUCGAACAACUCCCCCAUACUUCAUGAGCUCCAAGGUUUAAUACUCGAGCUUACCCAAAACUGUACAUGCAUUUUGUGAUCAUCAUCACUUUCACUCCCCCAUACAUGUAGUAUACCUGAAACAUGACCCAAAACUAUACAACCUCUAAACAUCAACACGUUCACUCCCCCAUACGUGUAGCAUACCUGAAACAUGACCCAAAAAUACACUAACAAAGAAGAAGAAGGUGUUAGUAUUAGAGUCAUAAAUCUCCCCCUUUUUGUCACAAAUGAAGCAAGUUAACAAAAGAAAGAGAAAAGAAAAAAUACCAAACCAUAACAAAUAAGAUUAAAGAAGAAAAGAAAGAGAACAAUCAUGUUAACAACAAAAAGGAUAUGCAACGGAAGCCAUAACAUAAACACCUGUUAACACGAUGUCAAUACAAAGAAUUCUCCCCCUAAACAAAAUCUUCACCUAAAUGCAAUGCAUAUGAGAAAGAUGCACCUAGAACAAACAAACCAAAUAAGGAUAUUUGAAACACACAAAGAACCAAGCAUACAAGGGUAGAAAAGAGUAAAGAGAAAACCAUACCAUAGAUCUGGAAUCCAUGACACACAAAACUAAAAAACAUGAGAGAGAUCUAGGCAUAUAAAUGAAGAAGAAAGAGCACCAACACAGACACAAGAAGGAAGAUUAGAUAAGAACCAAAACGAGAUAAGAAGGAGAUAGUGAAAAGACACUGAAUACUUAUAUAGGUAACAGAGGGAAGAAAAGAAAACAUAACAUGAAUCCCUGAUAGAAACCAAGAGAAACCUAUACAUAGAAGAAAGAGUCAGGACACCAACAAUCGGAACAAAUGAUUCACUAGAAUAUCACUUUAAACAACCGACCAUAACCACCUGAGAUAGAUUCCAGAGAAACGACUCCAUAGUAGCAAGUUAUCUAGAGAAAAAGAUCAAACAAACAAAAAGGAAGAAAUACCAUACGUGAUGAAAUUGGGAAGGUACAAUAAUGACCAAGAACCAAAUAGUCAAACCUGUGAGAAAUGUGCAAGAAAAGAAUAUGCGAAAAGAGAAAGAAGAAGAGAUAAACAAUAGUUAGUAGGAGAUAUGAAAGAGAAUAGGGAAACCAUGCAUAUUAGACACAUCCAACAAUAUCCCAUGACAAAACUACAGGAAUAUGAGUAUCUGCAAGAAGAGAUACGUAAAGUAUAAGAAAAUCCAUUGAGAAUCCAUGGGGAAAUCCAAUCUGUACAUGUUCCUGAAACAACUCAUCCAACCACAAAAAAGAAUUAGAGAAUCUUAUAAACAAGGAGAAGAAAAUAUUAUCCCAAACACAACGGAAUAGAGACAUAAAAGGAAUAAACCUGUAAGCCCACCCCUAGUGAAACCCAAAAAUUAGUUUAACAUAUGCCAAACAAGAUAAGCAAUCAUCAAGCUCAUAAAAAAAAUGCUUUAACUGAAGAAUGAGCAAGGAUUAUCGAUGUCACCAAGUCACAAAACAACAAUCCAACUUCAGAGCAAAUUUCCUGCCUGCCAGAACACUAAGACUCCGAUGACAUGGCAUACAUUGUCAGAAGGAUUAGAGAGUCAAUAGAAGAGAAUUGCUAACAAUAGAUGACCAAACUGAGCAUAUGCAUCCCAAAGUAGAACAGUGGUAGCCCAGAACCAUUGCAUGAGGAUUAUUGCAGAAGACUACCAAGAACACAUCUAAUCAAACCUAUUGCAGGAAAAAAUAGGAUCAACCAGGCACAAGAAGCAACAAUAAGAGGAUAGGCAAGUCUCAUAAGCAUUUAAUCAAACACCAGCUAGCCAACAAGGUAAUUCAAGAAUAUUAGCCCAACAUAGAAAAGUAUGAUGAGAACCUAUGAGAAAACAUGAAUCAAUAUAAAUCAUGACAACCGAAUACACCAAUAACAUGAUUUCAUCACCAAAAUAUGCUUAUGCAUACCUUGUAGUCUUCUUAAAACAAAUUGAGAACUAUUACCUUGAGAAAUCACAUCAAACACAUGUGAUCCAAUGACAAAAAUAGAAAGCAUGAAGUGUAAAACCAAAUAAUACUAACAAUCUGACCUUAGUAUGUCAAUGAAACACCGACUGAAAAGAAUUACCAAGGAAUGGAACCAAAAUAGAGUAAGCCAUAAACACUUUCAGCAAGAACAUCUGCCUGUAAAGUUACUGAGAGAAAAAUAAAGUUGACGACACGCACAUUGUCCAUGAACAAGAAUCCGAAGGAAUGGCGCCUCUACUCCUUUGAGCACGAGGAGGACGUGUGCCCGACGACGAAGCACCCUUGGAACUGGGUGUUUCUUUGGUGGGAGUAGUCCGAGCUCGCUUAGGAGGCAUGUCCUGCACACACACAACAUUAUAAACACCACACAAGUAAGUAAAACCAACAAAACAACCAAGAAAAACCUUAGGAAACUCCAUUCAGGCAUUUCACCAAACACUUGGUGAGCAAUACAGAACAUAUAGGCAAAAACACUACAUGAGCAUACCAAAAUGAUACUAAACAUGUCCAAGAAACUCCACAACCAUUAAUAAUCACAAGAAGUUCCAAAAUUAUUUAGACAACAAGUAUAUAUCCAAUGGUAUGAACCCAACAUGAUCAUGGUAAACAAACUCUUAAUCCAAAGCAUAACAGACAAAUAAUAAUGUAGCAUCAAGAUAAAAUGAAAAACCUUGCUGCCUGAACAUGCGUACGAACGUUAUAACACCGUUCGUACGUUCCCCCCCCCAAAAAAAACAUCUGCCUCCACAAACAUUCGAACGUGCUAAUAACGUUCGUACUCCCUUUUUGUUUUUGUUUUUUUUUUUUUUAAACAAUAGAGAACUAACCUUAAUAACAGAAAAACAAACCGAAUAACUAACAACACAAUCCAUAAUAAGAAGAUAAAAGGAAAAGAACCGAUGUACCAUAAAAGUGAAGAGGAAUACAUCAUGAACUUCCAAAACAGUAGCCAAUCCCAAUUCGUACAAAAAUAAGAGGCAAUAUAUGGGGAUAAACAAAAGAUUGAACAAAUAAGAGAAUUGAAGUGCAUCAUAAACUAAACCUCGGUGUGUGUAGAUGCAAUGCAAUGCAUAAAGAGAGAGAAAGUUCACCACUAGAACACACCCUUUGAAGACCUAGAAUAUAGAACCAUCAACAAGAGACAUACGAUUAGAUUAGUAAGUGAGCAUAGAAGAAACAAACUUCAACCCCCUUUGAAACAAACGUUAUGAGUAGAAGGCAAACGAAUAUAAAUAUAAUCUUUCAAGUGAAAACCAAGACAUUAAAAAGGCAAAAGAAUAUAAACUUUGUAUGCCUUACAUAAAAAAAUGAAUAUGCGGUUGGAUUUUUAUUUUGCCGCAUGUGGUGGAGUUUAGUCUACAUCACUUUAAUGUCAUUCCCGCGUGGGAGGGAUUUUUGCCUCCAUCUUUUCAAAUACACGAGGGUAGGGUGUAGCCUACAUCUUUUUGACAAACACAAACUCAAGAAGUGCAAUACCAUGAUAACGUGCAACACAAGAACUAACAUCUCUUGAGUGAUUAAUGAAACGGGGUAGGGGACCCCAGUAACAACCUCGCUUGCCAACCAAAAAAAAAAAAAAAAAAAAAAAAAAAAAAAAACCUUCUUGAGUGCAUCCGUCAGAGCAUGACCCUCACAACCCCAACGGGUUCUUAGCCAACUGAUAUUGCUUCAAAGACAAUCAAAUGGCUGGGGAUAAAGUGAGUCAUUGACCACUAACAAGAGUUAUAAUAGGAAGAUAAGAAUGUUCAAUAACACUAACAACAAGAUGAACAUUAACCAAAACAAAGGAGAGAUAGCUCAAGAUCACAUAAAUACUCGAGAGAUAGAGAAGUUCUAUGAGCUCAAAGAAUAUGUAAGUGGUUUCCAAAAACUCCCAUUAUGCAAGCAUGCCAUGCACUGUGCAAACAAGCGAGGAAAAAUGCAUGAUACAUACCAAAACAUACUUAAGAGUUCAGAAAGAGAAAACACCCAAACAUAUUGCAACUUAUUUAAGACAAUUGAAUUAAGCCAAUAUCUCAGAAAAGAUGUAACCAACAACACAUACAUGGAAUAAAUAAAGAAAAAUAGAAGGAAUAACCAACAAUGUAUUCAGACAUGCAACAUGAUCUGCAAGCUAAACAAACAAAGCAUAAAAAGUAGAAACACCAAACAAAUAGCCUAUGUGGUUAGAGAAAUAUGCAAUUCAAAUAACACAAGGCUAGAAACAACCUACAUCAUCCCAAAUAUGGGACACCACCAGACCUUUGCAAGUCCAGAAAAACCUUCAACUUAUCCUUUCUUACCCAUACUUGUUUAACACUAGGCGUGCACACCUUGGAAGUUGAAAAGAUAUGAGAUUUCUCCUUAACAAAUUUUUCAAUAGACUUGUCCUUAACUAAUUCCACCUUAGUCUUUGACUUCCUUUUGUUGGAAUACCUGUUUUUCUUAAACCUGUGACGAACACCACUAUAAUUCCAAGGUCUAGAAAAUGCACAAGAAGAAACAUUAGAAUCAACAUGAUUAUAAUGAUUAGGAACACGAGAAUAGGAUGCAUCAUGUUGAUUAAAAUCCCAACAAAAAAUAUCCAAAUGACCAACCCUACCACAAUAAGAACAAUGAAAAACAUUAGACUUACUCAAAGAAUUCUUAUAAGAAGAUGUGGUAGUGGUGGAUAAACCAUGUAUGUCACUAUUUGGUUUAUGACAUUGUCCCUUAACAAAACCCAUACCUCCCCUAUUAGAACAAGAUGGCUUACCAGCAAAAGCAACCUUAUCAUUAGCCUUAGACUUAAACUUUGUGCAAGAAACAUGCUGAAGACUAUUAGUAUUAAGUCUAGUCUCAAUAGGCGGGGUAGGUAAAAGAGCAGGCAAACUAGAUUUUACAGAAGUAGUCACACUAGAUGAACGAGUAGAACUAGCAAUAGGAGAGUCAAAUCUAGUUUUGUCCAAAACCUGCAAUUGGAGUUGAGUAGACAUUAAACCGUUCUUUGUUACCUCAUACUCCACCAAUAGAGAUUUGUAUUUCUCAUCGACCUCCUGAUUGGCCUUCUCUAAAGCUGCAAUUCUACAUAACAAGUCAAGUUUUUCUUUGUCAAAUAAUUGAGAAAUAGAAAUUGCAUCAUCUGCAGCACAAGAAAUUUGUUUUUCAAGAAUCUCAAUUUUAUCCUGCAAAGAAAGAUUAGCCUUUUCCAAAUUUUUAAUUUUGGAUUCAUAAACUUCCCCUUGAAGCAUAUAGUCUUCUGCACAAUGUCUGAGUCGUUGUUCUAGAGAAUCAUCCUUAGUCUGCAAAACACCAUUAUCUUCAAAACAAACAUUAUCAGAAAUAGUAGACACAUUACAAUUAGCUUUUUUAAAUUUUUCCUGCAAAUCAAUAUUAGCUUUUUGUAAUCUUUCACAUUCUUUUGCAGAAAGUCUGUAAAGAAGAGCCCAAUCACUAUUGCUAACAACAUACAAAUUAUCAUCCUUUUCAAAAUCAGAUUUUGGUUUUGUAGAUUUAGACGAUUUAGCAAUAAAAUUAUUAUAACCAGACUCAUGAACCAUUAUUGCACUCAUAGGAUCGUUAGCGUGAGCCUUGACGCUCCUUAACCAGCCCCCAGCGACUGAUACCAAUUGAGAAACUACAAAUAGUGCUAAUCUAACAGUUCAAUAUUCAAACAACUUAAACGAUAUGCAGAAAGUAAAUAACACACAGAAAUUUUUAACGUGGUAAAACCCAAUAUGGGAAACGUCCACGGUUGUCCUCUCGACAACAAAUAAUCCACUAGAUGAAAAGAGAUGUACAAACCUAUCAACUACCUGCACUCACUGCGAGUUGAUACUCCUGGUUAUCUCUAACACCUUGACUUCACCAGAGCACCUUGAUGUACGCACAAGACACUCGACUUCUUGAUGAACACACAAGAAGACUCGAAGCCGAUCUAUGUAACAAGCUUACACCAGAGUUCCUUGAUGAACACACAAGGAUACUUGACUUCUUGAUGAACACACAAGAAGACUCGAAGCUAAAUCAAUAUAAACAAUAAUGAAGAAGAAGAUGAAUGGGGAAGAAGAAGAUGAGUUCAAUCACCAAAACCACCUAAACCAAAACCUAAACAAACUCCAAGAAACAAGAGGUGAAUUGGACGGCCAAAGAACUGACUUGUUCUUUGGAAGAGAAACCCUAUUUAUACUUAGGGUUGGAAACCAAAGAAAAUGGGCCGAAUUAGUGAAAACCCAUAUUGGACGUACGUACGUCGAUAUGACGUUCGUACGUCUCCAAACGAAAAUAAGCCUGCUGCCUACUUGGACGUACGAACGUCCUGUAAAGGUACGUACGUCCAGAACACAAACUUCCCUGCUGACUACAUGGACGUACGAACGUCCUUACAAGGUACGUACGUCCAGACCACAAAUUAUCUUGCUGACAUACCAUACGUACGUACGUCCUUAAGCAGUACGUACGUCCUGAACCAAACACCAAACUUGAGACACACGACGCGAAGACAAGGACAUGGGACGACGCGCGUACAAUCAGGUUUUCUUAACAAUGAACUCAAGGCGAAAUAACCAAGGACACUUUGUCACAAAAUUGAUGUCAAACCACUUCGUGCCGGUUUCAUACCUAACGUUUAGGUAGCUUUUAUGAAUUGAAGAUUGAAGAGAAAGUUCAUCUUCUUCUUCUUUUUUUGUAUCAAACUCAAUAUCAAUAUCAAUUCCAUUAUCUUUUCCAUUAUGAUGUCUUGUGAUUUAUUUAUUUAUUCCAUUGUGUCAUCAUCAAGGAUGAGUAGCUAAAUCUCCUAAGGGGAAUGGUUGAAGCACUCUAGAUGAUGCAAAAGCACCAUGUUUGUUCUUAUUGUUCAUUGUGAUUCAAAAUUCUUAAUGCUUAUUUACUUCUAAUUCGCGAUAUGAGGUAAGUAUGAUUGUUAUCCAUGUUGUUUAAAAUACUAUUGUUAGGGUUUAGGGAGACCUAACUUUAAUGGUUUUAUUUAUAUUGAUUAAAGAUGUGUAGUGAAAUAGCUGAGAGGUGAUUAUUACAUAUCUGCAGUUGAUAUCUUUUAUUGGAACCCUUUUAUAAUUAAGUCAAAUAGCUGAGAGGUGAUGAUUUAGUUAUGAAUAAUAUGUUGAGUUAAUUAAAUUGAAUAGCUGGGAGGUGACGGUUUGAUUAAUAAGACAUAUUCAAUAGCAUGCAUAAGAGAAUCCCGUUUUAAUUGAGUGGAAUAGCUGAGAGGUGACUACUUGAUUAUUAUAGGUAUUAAUGAUUAGUCGGAAUAACCGAGAGGUGACUAAUUAAUUGUUAUAGAUUGAACAUGAAGGAACAACAUAUUAUGUUUGCAUGAUUUAUUUUGUGGAUACCAAUUCUUCCCUCUUUGUCAUCAUUAAUCUUCUUUACAUCUCUACCAUAUUCUUAAGUUAGGGUUUAUUUAAUUAUUGUCUGUAGGAAGUUAGAAUCAAUCUCAAAACUUGUUUGUUGAUUCCCUUAGUGUUUCUUAACCAUUGUUUUUUAUUGUAUUUGAGCUAAGAUCUCCCAGAAUUCGGCUCCCCGUCCUGCUGCUGAUGAGGGCGGACCAAGAGGUAUUCCGACAACUGGGCCUCCUUCGCCUGCUGGUGUGGCGGAGGUGGCUCCUUUAGAAUAUGUUGAGCCUUCGUCGGAAAUGCCCAGGAGGAGGUGGCAAACUUCCUCUAACCUCCCCCGGAAUCCUGAGCUCGAGCGGAUGAGCGCGGCGUAGGUCCAGGAGCAGUUUAGUUGGAGGGGGGUUCGAUUUGGCUCACCCCUCCAUUUCUGAUGGUUGCUCUGGCAACUUGAUCGCGGUAAGUCUUUAUCAGCUCCUGUACGAUAUGCAACUCCCACUGCAUUCUUCUAUUCUGAGACUGUUGUCGUGAUGGGGGAUCCCGCCGGGUCAGAUGCACGUGUCCUUCUGGAUAAUUGUGCGUCGGAUCGGGCUUAUCGCCCUCCACUUUGAGAUUCCCUUUGGCCCGGUCGAGAUGUUCAUGGUCAUGAAGCCGGUCGCUCGAGAGGCCAAGGAACGUUGCUUCUACGCCAUUUCUUGGUGUACUGCCCGGAGCCUGUCUGGGCUUCCCAAUCACUAUGGGAAUUGUUUUGAACCCUGCUACCGGGUGUCAGGGUGGUCAUCUGACCACAACAUACAGGUGUCGCGGGACUUCAUAGGUAAGCAUGCGCCUAACCUUUCUUUCAUUUUUGCCCUUAUGUUUUGCGUGCUUGCUGAGCUGGGGCUCAGAAACAUUUCCAUGCUUGUGCUUGCAGGGAAACAUCAGCUUCAGGUGUCUCUGCCAGCGGGGGUGGAUUCCUCUGCGGCUGAAGGGAACAUUGAACGCUUCUUCAGUCUACUCGCAGACCUACGGGACCUGACACUUCCUGACCAGAUUAUGAUGCACAUCCGCCUCCCGGCCCGGCUUGCAGCCCUAUGGCCCUUCCGUAAGUCGUGGAGGUGGAAUCCAGCUCUAGUGAGGGUGUUGCCACUGUAGAGAGCACAAUGCCCAGUGUUGAGGAGGAGCCUCCGGUCGAGAGUGAGGUUGUUGAUUUGCGGGGGGAGAUGGACGACUGGCCCGAUGAGGCUCUUCUAGUCGAGGGAAGAUCUCCUCCUGAUGAGCCAAUGUCGGAUGUUCUGUCGAAAAUCUCCGGUUGUCGGGGAUGUCCAGGUCAGUGAUGCUAGCUCCGUUUGUCAUUCAAACCCUCCCUUGGGACGCCGGAAGAGGCCACAUGUUUUUAUGGCUCAUCUGACUCCUCCGGUGAUCCAAGCCUGAUGUCGAGGGAUAGCGGACUAUCGCUUUCCCGUGGGUCUAGAGAAUCAGCUACUGAGGGAUUCUUUUCUACCCCGGUGCAGGUACAUGCUGAGGUGGACAACCUGGCCCAGCAGGAGAUGGUGGGAGGUGUGUCCGAGGAUGCUGGAUGAAGUGGACUCCCACAGUGUUGGAGAUGCUGGAGUUGAGGCUCCGGUGGAGGUAAGACCUUCCCAACCUCUUGUUGUUGAAGUUGUUUCUGUGCAGUCUCCUGCCCUGGUUGAUCCGAGGGGCAAGGAUGUCGUUGAUGAGUCUGCCCGGGGCUGGAAGAGAGUUGCUUCUGCCUCUCCUGCUGACCAGGGGGAGGCUGUACGCCCGAGAAGGGAUGAUGUCAUCCCUCAGGCGCUGAGGGGACCGGUGACGGGGACUACUCGGAUUGGUAGUGGCUCCUGGGUCCCUGUUGAGGAUGCUCUAGUCGUUGAGGACGUCCAGACUGAGGUGGAGUUCACUAUGUCGGGCACUGCUGAUGACUAAGCCCCGGUUUAUGGGUGGGGUGACCAGGUCCCAUACAGUGACCUGCACACUGGCCCAACUGUGCAACUGGGCCCUGAACCGGGCGAGUACCAGCCUGAGGCUACUUUGGAGUUUCCACUGCCGUCGUUCACCAUUCAUCCUGCAUUUCUGAAUGGGGAAUGAUAAGUUCUCAAAAGUGUAUAUUUAUCCCCCGAAUAACACCUUGUUUGUCUAGAACUUAGCUUAUAUUAUUGUUUUAUAUCUAUUGAUUAGUGCUUUCUUGUCUAUUGUGUAGGUUUUAUGAGCCGAAAUGCGAAUAUUGUAAAGCCCGCAAAAAGAAAAGAAAAUCAAGCAAAAAGUUGUUAUUUGCACAAGAGUAGGAGAAUUGAUAUUUGCACCCACAAAUCUACUGAGGACACCCCAUGGUCAGACCAGUUGAUUUGACUAUAUGUCAAAGUGGGGCGGUCCAAAUCUCAGUCCAAACCGGGUCCUAUUGGAGCCCACAAGUUAGAAUUUCUAUUUACGGUUUUAUUUAAAGUCCAAACUUAAAAAGGCUUUACAAGGAGAUCCAGAAGUCUGAUUUGGGCCCAUGAGCUAUCAAACUGAAGGUUUUGGUCCAAGCUACAUCUUAAGCCCAGGAGAAUUAGGUUUUGUUAAAGAGCUAAUGCCUCUAUGCCUCUAGAAGACCAACAGCAGCAGCCACGAAUUUGACCUAAUUUGGAAGUUUUUGUUUGCAAGUAUUCUACUUUGUAUUUUCUAUAUAAGAGAAGUAGUAGCUAAGGUUUAGGUAGUUUUUGUAUAGAGAGAGGAAAGUGAAUAUUUGUAAAAGAAAGUUCAUCUUCUUCUUCUUUGUAUCAAACUCAAUUCCUAUCAAUCAAAUCACUUUACUUUAUGAUGUUUUGUUAUUUAUUUAUUUAUUCCAUGGUGUCAUCAUCAAGGUUGAGUAGCUAAAUCUCCUUAAGGGGAUGGUUGAAUCACUCUUGAUGAUGCAAAAGCACCAUGUUUGUUCUUAUUGUUCAUUGUGAUUCAAAGUUCUUAAUGCUUAUUUACUUCUAAUUCGCGAUAUGAGGUAAGUAUGAUUAUUUGCAUGUUAUUGUUAUCCAUGAUGUUAAAAUACUAUUGUUAGGGUUUAGGGAGACCUAGCUUUAAUGGUUUUAUUUAUAUUGAUUAAAGAUGUGUAGUGAAAUAGCUAAGAGGUGAUUAUUACAUAUCUGUAGUUGAUAUCUUUUAUUGGAACCCUUUUGUAAUUAAGUCAAAUAGCUGAGAGGUGAUGAUUUAGUUAUGAAUAAUAUGUUGAGUUAAUUAAAUUGAAUAGCUGAGAGGUGACGGUUUGAUUAUUAAGAUAUAUUCAAUAGCAUGCAUAAGAAAAUCUCGUUUUAAUUGAGUGGAAUAGCUGAGAGGUGACUAAUUGAUUAUUAUAGGUAUUAAUGAUUAGUCGGAAUAACUGAGAGGUGACUAAUUAAUUGUUAUAGAUUGAACAUGAAGGAACAACAUGUUAUGUUUGCAUGAUUUAUUUUGUGGAUACCAAUUCUUCCCUCUUUGUCAUCAUUAAUCUUCUUUACAUCUCUACCAUAUUCUUAAGUUAGGGUUUAUUUAAUUAUUGCCUGUAGGAAGUUAGAAUCAAUCUCAAAAUUUGUUUGUUGAUUCCCUUGGUGUUUCUUAACCAUUGUUUUCUAUUGUGUUUGAGCUAAGAUCUCGCCCUCUGAAGUGGGUACGACCCUUGCUUGUUACUUGUCUACUUUGAUAUCCAAUUUAUAAAGGCACAAGAAGGAACAUCAAUAAAAAUAUAAACUUUUGAUCGAGGUUAGAGAUUAACACUUUUUGGCCUCUAUCAAAAUAACGAUGUUGCCGCUCUAAGGAACGGAGUUCAUUCAAACACAAGCGAGAAUAGUAGUUUCGGGACAUCAUCCCACUUCUAUCCCUCCCACCCUUCUAUUUUUAUUUCUUUUUUUUUUAUUGUUUUUAAGUGUCUUGUUACUUAGUCCUCUUAUUGAUCUUGUAGCAAAGAUGGAUUGAAAAAAGCUCGAAAAAUGGAGUCAAAAUCAAAUCUUUAGAAAAAUCACAUAUUCAGGAUUUUUUCCUGAAAAGUUACUUGUUCAACUUGGACCCGAUCUCGAGUCGAGUUCAGAUUGGCCUAUAACCAUUUCGAGUCGAGUUCCAGGCAUUGAAUUUGCCUCGUUUUGCGUGAUUUUUCCAGGACGUUCCAGAGCUGCUUUUUAAUUAAUAUUUUUUUCCUGUUGAGUGAAUGUGUGGUGAACUAAGUAGUCUAUUUUUUUCAUCAUUUUUAGAGACUCGUAAGAUAUUUAAUUAUUCGAUCCACGAAGGGGUCGCGGUUGUAAUAUUUUUAAAGUAGGUGUUGUUAGGAUUUAUUUUAUUCUGUGUUCGUGGCGGAUAGUAGAGUAAGGUUGUGGAGCUAGCCUUGACUCUACUAUGGAACAACUCCUAAGGAUGAUUGAAACCCAAGGAGCGGUUUCCCCUUAGUCGACUUCAACUCGUCUUCUCCCCACUUUUGUGCGCUUGUUUGACAUUUUUUUACAUUUUAGUACAAAGUGGGAGGUAAGCAUUCUCUUAACCCUCCUCGAAUCCCCUACAAGAGGAGUUUCUGUAUUGAUUAGCAUGACCUUGAUUGUUGCUUGAUUUCAAUUCUGUUUUUUCAACUUAGAACGCCCCGAGUUAAGUAAUGGAGUAGCUAGUCUCUUAGGUGUAUCGUUUUCCAUUGGGAAACAUGUGUGUUUCGUCCACUUAUACGUUAGGAACAAAAAUCGAGUACAUACUAAGCCGAAUGUCUGGACAAAACACCGUUCCCAUGGUCCAAAUUUUCUAUAUUGGCCUUAAAAUGUUCCGGAUAAGCCUUGUCGAUCUUGAGGUUUUAGAUUCCAAAACAAGUGAGUUUUGUCCAUUUCCAAGUUCGAACCGAAAACCGAGUAAAUGCCGACCGAACUGACAAACAUAAAUCUGGUUUUUAUGCCUACUUGUCCGAAGAAAAUCCACCCAGCUGAACUUUUGCUCGAGCCAUAUUGCCCGAUGUGCGGGGGAGCACCCCCACCGCCCGAGGAACUCCGGACUUUUCACGCCUAAUGGCGCCCGAGCUUAUUUUUUUCCAGCACAAACUCAUUUUUCCUCGCACAAAAACCCCCCAAUCACAUUUUUCCUCGGACCACAUGCCAAAUUAUCAUUUUUAUGCCUACCUGUCCGAGGAAAAUCCACCCAGCUGAACUUUUGCUCGAGCCAUAUUGCCCUAUGUGCGGGGGAACACCCCCACCGCCUGAGGAACUCUGGACUUUUCACGCCCGAUGGCGCCCGAGCUCAUUUUUUCCCGCACAAAGUCAUUUUUCCUCGCACAAAAACCCCCCAAUCUCAUUUUUCCUCGAACCACAUGCCAAAUUAUCAUUUUUAUGCCUACUUGUCCGAGAAAAAUCCACCCAGAUGAACUUUUGCUCGAGCCAUAUUGCCCGAUGUGCGGGGGAGCACCCCCACCGCCCGAGGAACUCCAGACUUUUCACGCCCGAUGGCGCCCGAGCUCAUUCUUUCCCGCACAAAGUAAUUUUUCCUCGAACAAAAACCCCCCAAUCUAAUUUUUCCUCGGACCACAUGGCAAAUUAUCAUUUUUAUACCUACUUGUCCGAGGAAAAUCCAUCCAACUGAACUUUUGCUCGAGCCAUAUUGCCCGAUGUGCGGGGGAACACCCCCACCGCCCGAGGAACUCCGGACUUUCCACGCCUGAUGGCGCCCGAGAUCAUUUUUUCCCGCACAAAGUCAUUUUGCCUCUCACAAAAACCCCCCAAUCUCAUUUUUCCUCGGACCACAUGCCAAAUUAUCAUUUUUAUGCCUACUUGUCCGAGGAAAAUCCACCCCGAUGAACUUUUGCUCGAGCCAUAUUGCCCGAUGUGCGGGGGAGCACCCCCACCGCCCGAGGAACUCCAGACUUUUCACGCCCGAUGGCGCCCGAGCUCAUUCUUUCCCGCACAAAGUCAUUUUUCCUCGAACAAAAACCCCCCAAAUUCAUUUUUCCUCGGACCACAUGCCAAAUUAUCAUUUUUAUGCCUACUUGUCCGAGGAAAAUCCACCCAGCUGAACUUUUGCUCGAGCCAUAUUGCCCGAUAUGCGGGGGAGCACCCUCACCGCCCGAGGAACUCCGGACUUUUACGCCCGAUGGCGCCCGAGCUCAUUUUUUCCCGCACAAAGUCAUUUUUCCUCGCACAAAAACCCCCCAAUCUCAUUUUUCUUCGGACCACAAGCCAAAUUAUCAUUUUUAUGCCUACUUGUCCGAGGAAAAUCCACCCAGCUGAACUUUUGCUCGAGCCAUAUUGCCCGAUGUGCGGGGGAGCACCCCCACCGCCCGAGGAACUCCGGACUUUUCACGCCCCGAUGGCGCCCGAGCUCAUUUUUUCCUGCACAAAGUAAUUUUUCCUCGANNNNNNNNNNNNNNNNNNNNNNNNNNNNNNNNNNNNNNNNNNNNNNNNNNNNNNNNNNNNNNNNNNNNNNNNNNNNNNNNNNNNNNNNNNNNNNNNNNNNUCAUGUUAUAGGAUUGUACCUGGACAACAAUAACUUCAAAGUUUUACGAAGUGUCAUUCUCUUAUAGUCUUAGUAUGCAGUUUUCUUAUAAUAGUUUUUGGAAUGGGAUAUUGGUAUAAUGCUUUGAAUUAACGUUGAUUUUCUUUUUAUGUUGCGAUCAGGUUCAUAGUGACUACUCUGAAGAUGUUAGUGUGAAAGUGGAUAGUGCAACUGAGGAAACUAUUAAAUAAGGUAUGUUACAUUUUAGAAAUUGUAUCUGGACAACAAAAUAAAUAUCUACUUGACUAUGAAUUUUUUUUCUUCUGUAUCCAGAUGUUUAAAAGCUGAAAGGUGGAGAAUUGGUAAUGAUCUUGCACCAUGGCAUCUGAAAAGAGAAAUCUAGUGAGAUAUGACUGUAUUUCACGAGUCUUCAUUACUCAACUAAUAAUUGUGAAUAUUUUUUAUGUUUUAGUCAUUGUAUCUUGAAUUCAGUUGUAAAUUUGUUGUGUUAGUGAAAUGGUGAUGGUUCAACGCUUGGAAUAUUAUGUAAAUGUAUUGUAAUCUGUAAAUAUAUCCAAGUUUAAAGGUAUUUGUGUAAAUGUUGCUUUUUACAGGGGUAAAAGAGUAAUUAGGGGCAAAAGAGAAAAUAUUGCGCUUACAGGGGUAAAGGAGUAA